CAUCAUCCCAUUCCAUCCUCCCUCUCUCGUCUCGCUCUCGUCGUCGUCGUCGGUUUUCCUCGACCCCUAACCUUACUUUAGAUGACCCCAGCGAGGUCUUGAGUCACGUGAGGAAAAUUUGCAGGAAUGGUGGUGUGUUUUCGAGCGUCGGCGAUGCCCACCGUUGCUUCGGUGCAAUGAUGAAGACGGACCCUUUGCCUUCCCCCAUGGAUUUCAGUCUUCUGUUGGGUGCUGUAGUGAGGAUGAAGCACUACUCCACUGCCAUCCGCUUGAUUGAGCAGCUGCAUUCGUUAGGGGUUGAAGAUAAUCAUUAUUGGCUGACGAUUUCCCUGAAUUGCUUCUGUCGGUUAGAGAGGGUCGAUUUGGGUUUGUCUAUCCUGGGCAGAAUCUUGAAGCUUGGGUUUCCCAUCACUGUGGUGGCAACGAGUACCUUAAUUGAUGGUCUCUUUAUUCAGGGCAAAACUGAUCAAGCACUGAGGUUCCUCGAUGAUAUGGGACGAAAUGGCCCCGAACCUAAUGAGACCACGUAUGCAAUAAUCGCAAAGGGGUUAUGCAGGGCUGGUAACACCAGAUUGGCGAUUGAAUUUCUGAGGGACUGGGAAGAGAGAGGCUGCAGGCUCCAUUCCUUCACAUACAACAUAGUAAUUGAUGGUCUUUGCAAGGAGGGAUUGAUCACUGAGGCCUUGAGACUCCACAAAAGCAUGAGCAAGAAAGGUAUCAAACCAGAUGUUGUUACUUAUAACUCCUUGAUCCACGGUCUGUGCAAUGUAGGCCAGAUGGAAGAUGCUCUCGUAUUGUUGAAACAGAUGACGAGCGGAGGCAUCCAACCCGACAGAUUCACUUAUAGCUCCUUGGUUCAUUGCUUAUGCAACCGAGGCCAAUGGAAAGAUGCUAUGGUCUUGUCAGAGAAGAUGAUGAAGGCAGGAAUCGAACCGGACGUCGUUACUUAUACCUCUGUCAUUCAAGGAGUUUGCAAUUCCGGCCAUUUGGAAGAGGCUCGAAGACUGCUGAGUCAUAUGGUGCAAAGCAGAGUCAUGCCUAAGGUUCUAACCUUCAGCAUCCUGGUGGAUGCACAUUGUAAAGAGGGACUGCUUGUAGAGGCAGAGGCCAUAGUCGACCAGAUGAUUCAAUUAGGUAAAAUGCCUAAUAGUGUCACUUAUAAUGCAUUGUUGAAUGGUUAUUGUUUGCAAAAUAGGAUGAAAAAAGCAAUGGAAGUGCUUAAUUUGAUGGUUGAAAGAGGCUGCUCACCUACUGUUGUUACUUAUAACACAUUGAUUAACGGACACUGCAAAGUGAAAAGAAUGGACAAGUCAAAGAUGCUUUUCCAAGAAAUGCUUCAAAGGGGCCUGAUUCCUGAUGUCAUCACAUACAACACUCUCGUAAAUGGAUUUUGCCUGGUUGGGAACCUUGAAGCUGCAGAGGAGUUAAUUAACGAGAUGCAGUCUCGCGGUCUAUCUCCAAAUCAUUAUACCUUGAGUGCUUUACUCGAUGGCUUAUGUAAAAUGCAGCAGAUUGGCAAGGCCUUGAUAUUGCUUCGAAAGAUGGAAGAAUCCAAAUUCAUCCUAGACAUCGUGACUUACAGUAUCCUAAUAAAUGGCAUGUGUAAUGCCGGAAAGCUCGACGAUGCAAGAGGGCUGUUUGAUUGUUUGCAUGCUCGAGGGUUGCAACCUAAUGUGUGGACGUAUAAUAUUCUCAUGCGUGGAUUGUGCAAAGGAGGAUGCAUGGAGGAAGCAUAUCGGCUGCUAAAGGAGAUGCAAGAAAAUGGAUGCCUUCCAGAUGGUGUCACUUAUAACACAAUCAUCCAAGGACUACUAAGUGAUAACGAAAAUACGAGAGCAGUGCAACUUGUUGGUGAAAUGGUUGAAAGGGGUUUUUCUGCAGACUUAGCAACGAUGGAGUUGUGGGUUAAAUAUCUCUUGACAAAUGGAGCUCCUUCAUUUUCUAGUUGAACUCUCCAUUGUGUGUGAGAUCUGUCCUCUUUUUCAUCUGAAAUUUGAUGGAGAGCACGCCAGAUUAACAGCAGGUUUUCUUCCAGACAUCACCUCCUUGAGUCGCAUGUCCUGUUAAUGAAGUUGUUUUAAGUCUGGGAGAUUUUUACUCUUGCUUGAUUAUCAGGCUUUUGGAGGGGUGGAAGGUUGAUUUUGCUUUUCGUAUGCCUAGGUUUUGCAAGAAAUCUCUGUAUUUAACUGGUAGAUGUACUUGUGGGUUAGUGCUUCUGGUGCCUACUAUUUAUCAAACAGGUCAAAUUCAUAUGAAUGAUCAAGUGGUGUGAGGAUGCUCUCAAAUUAAAUCAAUGUUAAUAGCAAUAACUUUACUGUGUACCAUAUGCAAUUCAGACAUUAUAGACAAGUAUCAUGGACCUCUUCCUCAAUGGGACUAAAGAAACAAUUUUUUUUUUUUCAGGGUGUAAUGUCUGUGCUUUGAGAUAGAGAUACUGGUUGUCUUUUAUUUUCUUUUCCUAACACCUCUGACCCCUUCAUUGUCUUAUUUACCAUAGUUUUUCAAAGAAGAUGCACGGGUGGAAGUGGAUGGUAUAUGAUCAUGGUGAUGGGCACUUUGAAUCAAUAGCAGUGAAUACUUGUGGUGGGCUGGGUACUCAGAUUGUUAUGCAGGUCGAUUACAUAUUUGGGUUAUUUGCUCUGCUUCUCAUAGCAAAGUUUGAUGGACGGCUUGCUGACUAAGGAACAUGGCUGCAACUGUAUGGAAACAACUUUCAGUAUCUUUUCCUUUGCACUGUGAGGGAUUUUCCAAAAAGCAUCUGUUGAUGUGUGAACUUGAAUGCCGCUGACAGACAUUGCCAAUGCCAAACCACAUUGACGUCUCGAGUGGCACCAAUCAACUUCAUUACAAACAGGCCCAUAGGAUUUAACUUUCUUUCGUUUUCUAUAGAGGUAAAUUCAUUGCCAGUUUUCUGUUUUAUUAACAGACGAACAAAUGUUUUGGUUUGUUUUUGCAUGUUUCACUCACAGCUGCAGGAUUUGCCUGGACAGUCUCGUUACCCCCUCUACUGUGUCUUGACACAAAUAUAAUAAUAGUAGCGUGCAAGCAAAUAAUUGUUUAGUGCGGUGUCAGGAUGCUCUUGAGUUAAGUUGAUGUUAAUGGAGAUACAUUUACUUUGUACCAAAGAUCUGCAAUGCAGACAUUAUGCACCAAUAUCAGGGACCUAUAUAUAUAGUGGUGCGAGGAUGCUCUUGAUUCAUAUAGAGGUUAAUAGCAAUAACUCUUCUAUGUACUAAAGUGAUGCAAUUCAGACGUUAUGGACUAUUAUUAUCGAACUCUUCCUCAAUAUGGAACCAAAGAAAACAAUUGUAUUUUCGGUUGGUCAACAAAUUGUGUCACAAAUCCUGAUCUGCCAUGUAUGCGCUUUUAGAGAGAUAUUAGUUUCCUUGUGUACUCUUUUCCUACCACAAUCUGUUCCCCUUCGAUAUCCUAGUUGCCAUGGUUGCUAUUUCAGAGAAGAUGCAUGUGUGGAAGCGGAUGAUAUUCGAUCAUGGUGAUGGGCACUUUGAAUCAAUUGCAGAAGACAUUUGUGGCGAGCUGGGUACCCAGAUUAUCAUUGCAGGUCGAUCACAUAUUUGGGUUAUUUUCUCUGCUUCUUACAUGCAAAUAAUGGCCAAGUUUGAGGGACGGCUUGCUGACUACAUGGCUGCAAGUGUAUUAAAACUACUUGCAGUAUCUUUUACUUUGCACUGCGGGGGAUUUUCGGAAAGGCAUCUGCUAACGGGGGAACAAGAGCGCCAUUGACAGGCCAUUCCAAAUGCCGAACCGCAUAGACAUCUUGAGCGACACCAUUCAACUUCAUCAAAGUCAGGCCUGGAUGAUUUGACUUUCCACUGUCUUUUCCGCAGCAUCAAUUGAAUUCCUUGCCAUUGGCAUUUGUCUCAGUUACUGACUUGGGAACACAAAUUUUUGUUUGUCUAUGCGUGUUUCACUUUCGACGGCAGGAGUUGCCUUGCUAGUCUGCCUCUCGUCACACCUUCUACACUUUGUGUUCUGUCGCAAUCAUAGUAGCGUUCAAGCGUUUCGGAGACCGUUCUUUGAGCUUAGUCUAGGUGCAGCUUAGUCUAGGUGCGGAUAUUGUAGCCGACAUGAUCAAUUGAACUCAGAAAAUAGUAACUUGUCAAGCAAAGUGUUCAAGUCGAAGUUCUGCAAAUAUACCAGGGGGAGGGAGCUUUGGACAAUGAUUCUUGCAAUCAUUGACCGAAGAAGGGAGGAAGCAAUUGAAGCUUCCCCUGCUGAAGUGUGCGGAGAGUGGGAGGGAUGGUGGUGGUGUUGUCUGAGACAGGAAGGACGAUGGAGUCGCCUAUGUGCAGGUGGGAAGGAAGAGACUUGAGGGACAUGGACAUGGACGAACCCACCUCCCUAUGUGAACAUUGGUUUGCUAGAUAUACCGCUCCAUCCCAUCCUAUUCGCUCCUCUCGACCCUCUCUUUCUCUAGUUCUCUCGGACAGAGCCCUUCUCGACGAAGGAGACAACCCUGACUCUUUUGGCUUUGGCCAAUCCUUUUCUAACUCGAUCGAGCUCUGUCAACGAGAUCAUAGCUAGAUCUAAACUUGAACACGGCUAACUCCACAAAGGAGCCAAAUCUGAAGUGAAUGAUUUUGACCAUAAUAAAUUAUAAUUUGAAUUCAUAUGAUUACAAUAGACAGAGCAAAAUCACGAAUUAGAAGUACCUUGAGCCACAAUGUAGCAUAAGGGACAAAGAAGCUAGAUAUACCUGAAGAAUGGAACGAAGGCCCUCUAAGGAGAGAGUAACAAAUAAUUCAUUAAGAGAAGCCUCUAUGGUAGUAGGCGUGGCAAAUGGAUGUGCACGUGAAUUAUGACUCCGGGAUUGAUUUUUUAGCUUGAUGGGUCUAAAGUAAUUGAAUGCCACGUUGGUGACAAUGCUUACAAAAUUUUUCCAUCAUAUGUGCUAUAUUGGCCAAAACAGAGCAAUUUGUAUAAACUAUGUGAAGAAAUCGAUACUUGAAAAGCAUAUAUGCAGACAAUAAGGUAAAAAUGGACUCAGCAUGCCGAAAGACCUUCGUAAUUGAUCUAGCCAUGAACUUGGCUAAAAUUAGUCGAACUGGUGAAAGACAAUCCUAGAAGUAGUCGGUUGAUUUGAUUGAACUGAUCAAUGAUUGGUCAACAUAGGUCGACGAUCAACUAUCGAUCAAUGGUCAGGCUGGCGUGGACUAAUGAUGUGGCCAAAAAACUAACAUGAUGGAGAUAACGUGUCAAUGACAUCAUCACUAGCGGUCCACCACUAGUCACUGCUUGGCACGUGAGGUGAUGACAUCAGUUUUCUAAUACAGAUCGUCUAGAUUUCACGUGUAAAAGCUUCUGAUGCUACGUAACAUGACAAAAGGUGAGGUGGUUGCUAGGAUCUAUCUUGUUAGAGGACGGCAGUUGAUAACGGCAUAGGAGAAGGCAGCCGAUUCCAUUUGAAUGCGUCAAGUUCGGUGAUGGUAUUCGUUUUCCAAACGAUUAGUUGAAGCAUGUCAGACAACUAGGGGAUGUUGCAAACUAGCUAAGAAAUGUAGCUGGGAUGGUUGGCAUUAUUACGAACACCUUGGGAAAAGCAACCCAUGCAGCUAGUGUUAUUACGAAACAUACUUGAUGGUUCUAAUGCCAAGUUGAGAAUUGUGAAGAACCGGAAAAUUUACUGCUAAAACUUCACAAAUGCUCAUCGUGUCUACAAAUUAUCCAUCACUUAAGAGCUUUGGAUACUAUAAUUCGUCUAAAUGAUGUUACGAGGGAAAAUUACUAAAAAAGUCAUAAAUUUAUUAUAAUUUUGCAAGUUUAGUCCUAAUUUUUUUUUUUGUUAAUUCAGUCAUAGAUCUUUUUCAUUUGUGUCAAUUCAGUCAAUCCUACAAUUUUAGCCAGUCGGCAUUAACAUUACAUUUUUUAGAUAAUUUUUGAAUUCUUUAAUUUUUAUCUUUUAUCUUUUAUUUUAAAAAAAAAAUCCCCCCUUCCCCUUCCCUUAGGGUCGAUGAGGAUCACCAGCCAACCCUCACUGGCUAGGGUGCGAGUAUGUUGCCCCUCGCUUAGAUCUAGCAAGGGCCAUGACACCCUCACCCGAUUUAGCCUAGCAAGGACACUGCGGCCCUUGCCCAAACAAGGCGAGGGCUGCAACUGCCUUGCUUAAUUUGGGCGAGCGAGGCAGCAAGGCCCUAAGUAAAGGAGAAGAGGACAACAUUAAAGAAAAGAAAAUUACAAAAAUUUUCAAAAAAUUAUUAAAAUAUUAUUUAAAAAGUACCAAGUUGACGCUAGUUGGGCAAAAUUGACCAAAUUGAUUGAACAAGUGUAAAUGCAAAAGUUUUAAGUCUGAAUUGGGAAAAAGUUUAAGACGGAAUUAAUACAAUUGCAAUAUAUUUAAGAUUUUUUUUUUAUAUUUCUCCCAAUGUUAUGAUGAUAUAACAAUCAAUGACAACCGACAAAAGAUCUCUAUGACAUGUUUUUUUGCCAAAAUAACCAAAGAUAAUUGUUAGUCAAAGUUGUUUAAUCUUUGAAAUCUGCAAUCAAUUAGAAUGGAAGAGCUAGCAUAAGUAAUUUCUGGGUCAUCUCCAACAGCAAAUGGAUUGCAUUCUGAUCCUUGUAGAUGGAGCUUAGGUGCAUUUUGGACCUUACACGUCUUUCAUCAAUUGCAAGAAGUUGUGUGCGUAAAUGCUUAGUGCAUUGCUUGUCAAGAAGAUAAAAGGAAAAAGAUUAACCUCUUCGCAGGAGCCCCAAACUACAGUUACAACAAAACCAAUACUUAGGGAGGAAAUUUAUAAAUUAAACCACCACUAGUCAAAAUCAUGUGAAAUCUCGUCUGUAUGUAUUUUUUUUCCUUUUCUUUUUUUCUUUUCUUAAAUUUCCUCCUUCGUUUUCUUCUUGGGUUUGGCAAGAUGAUGAUAGUGGCAAUGAUGACGGAAAUGGCAGCGGUAAAGAUGGAAGAGGAGGGAUAAAAGGAAAAAUAAUUUUAAAGGAUGACAAAUGUACGUUGUUUUUAGGAGAUUUUUGAUAUCAUAAAAAAAAAAUUGGAAUAAACGUGUCGAUUUUUUUAUUUUGUGGUUAUUAUCCAAAAUUAAAAGCUGAAUAAAGUUAAAAGAAACGGACUGUUCGAUUAUGUCUUCCCAUGUCGUCUUCUCCUUCUCCUUCUCCUUCUCCUUCUUCCAAAGCAAAAUGGCCGUUGGACAUCUUCCUCAACUUCAGAGGCGGGGACGUCUGCCACGGCUUCCUCGCUGACCUCCACUGGACUCUGCUUCACAGCGGCAUCAACGCCUACAUCAACAGCGAGGUCUUGAGCAUCAUCACAAAGAUCUCCAUUAUAGUAGGACAAGUACCCUUGAGUGUUGCCAAGCAUCCCGCUCGGUGUAGGCUGCCGGGUAGAGAAAGUUAUAUCAUUGUUAAGUACAUGCUUGGAUGAGGUUCGGAUGAUAGGAAUAAGGGAAGCAGGAGGUAUAGGGAAGACCACCAUCGCUAAAGCUGUCCAUGACAGUAUCACUAGUCAGUUUGAUGAGUGCAGCUUUCUUGCAAAUGUUAGAGAAACUUCCAGUAGACCUGACGCGUGGUUCAUUUGCAAAAACACUCUUAUCUGAGAUAUUGUUGAAAGAAAAUUUAGUGGUCUUAAGUGUGGAUGGAGGCGUUAACCUGAUAUGAGAUAGACUUUGUUACGGGAAGAUUCUGCUUGUGCUUGAUGAUGUGGAUCAUGGGGACCAGUUAAAUGCAUUAGCUAGAGAAUGUAAAUGGUUUGGAAAAGGUAGCGGGAUCAUUAUUACGAUUAGAGAUAAACAUGUACUAACUUCUCACGGGAUGGAUCAGGUAUAUGAAGUUAAAGCGUUAGAUCAAGGUGGAGCUUUUGAACUUCUAAGUUCAUAUGCUUUUCCAAAAAACCAAAUACAAGACAUAAGCAGGGAUCUCAUAGAUGUAUUUUGGGCUAUGCUAAUGGUCUUCCCUUAGCGAUUGUGGUCUUUGGUCCCUUUUUAUUUAGCAGAAUUAGAGGGGAAUGGGAGAGUACAUUGGGUAAACUUGCUAAAAGUCCUAAUAAAGAUAUAAACAGUGUUAUGAAGAUAAGUUUUGAUUAGCUGGUGGACGAUGAGGAGGACAUUUUCCUCGACAUUGCUUGUUUCUUUAAGGGGAGGGAUAGUGAUUAUAUAACCAGAGUUCUUGAUAGUUGUGGUUUAAAGACAUUAGUUGAGAUUCAGAUGCUAAUUGAGAGAUCUUUAAUAACCAUUGAGAAUCAGAGAACAGUACAAAUGUGUUGAAUUAUGUCUCAAGUUUGAAUCCAUUAUACGAUACCCGAUACGCGCAAAACAUUUUCACGUUGAAACGAGGAAGAACGUCAGCGAAGCAUUUAAUUAAAAUUAAGGAGCGUGCGAUAGGAGCCGAAAAAGAUCCAACCCUUGGCGUUGGAAAUAAAGUCUUCAAUCCAUGGGAUUCUUCUCAUUUGUCAGCAUAAAAUCUGAAGGGGUGAUCGUCCAAAUUCUUCUACGUUAUUAAAUGCAUGCACAUGGCCAUGUGCAUGCAUGCUUGUAGAAGAAUUGGUUGGUCAACACUUGCUGCUUCUGAAGCUAUCUCGUAGGCGCCCAAUUUUCUUCUCUUCUUGGUCAUCUUUGUGGACUUCUUUCGUCUUGUUGCGGAUAAAGGAGAGAAGGCAGAAGCUCUUCUACGUGUGUCAGUACACGCUGCUCAGUUCACACGCUAACAUUAAAUGCAUGGAGGCACAUACUUUGAAGAUCGGUGCCUUCUGACAAUUCUGGAGUACAAUAUUAUUUUGUUUCCUUCUCUUCCACCGAUAAAAAGGAGAAGACGUCUGGAGCUUGAUAAGCUGCAAAAGAAAAGAGCUUCGUAGUGAGCGAGAGAAAAGAGCUCGAGAGAGAGAGAGAGUGCGAGGCUUGAGCUCAGAGAGGUUUUGUGCGGAAGUUGAGUCCAUUGAUUUGUUUUGUUAAACACCGUGGGUAUCGGGUAUAAAGUAGGGCUGAGAAACACUUGAGUGCAUAUGUGAUUGUAAUCCUGUAAUUCUCCGAUUUAUAGUGGAUUGAUUUGCUGGCUCUCCCCGUGGACGUAGGUUCCGACAUUCAAACCGAACCACGUAAAUUUCCGGUGUCCUUUUGUUCCUCGUUUUAUUUCGAUCGAUUUCUAUAGCUCCCGACAUAGUGCAAAAUAUACGAUCCGCUUCCACUGCGACGCUGAUUCAUUACAACAAAAUGCAUGACUUGAUUCAGCUGAUGGGUCGGGAUAUCAUUAAACAAGAGUGUCCAAACGAUCCUGGGAAACGGACUAGAUUAUGGUGCUACGAUGAUAUUUUUGAAGUUUUGUUGGACGACACAGUGAGAACUUCUUAUGAAACCAUUGAUAAUCUUAUCUGCCUUAAUUUACAUGCUAUAACCUAAAUGGGUUGGGUAAUAAUGAUCAUUAUUUUUACCUCAAUAGGGAACCAAUGCUGUUAAGGGCAUAGUGCUGGACUAGCCAACACAAGAAGAGCUAGACAUCAGUCCCAGUGCUUUCACCCAUAUGAGGAGACCGAGAUUGCUCAUAGUUCUGGAUGCACAAAGUAGCAGAGGUCCCAUAUGUUUUCCUGACGAUUUAAGGUGGCUUGAAUGGACUGAAUAUCCUUUUAGAACUCUCAAGUUUAGUGCUGGGGUAUAGAAACUUGUUUAUUGUGAUGUGCAUAACAUCUAGAUUAAAGAAUUGGGCGGGAACUUAAACGUACCUGAUACAAGCUUUCCUUGAUGGUUUUCAUUUUAGGUGCCUCUAACAAAGUGAAAUUGAUCAGAAUCUCAUUCAGCUGCUCUUUUCAAUUUGCAGCAUUUCAGAAAUCUGAAGUUCCUGAAUUUCAGCCGCUGUAAGUCAUUGAUUAGUGUUCCAGACUUCUCAGAGGGGAUUUGGAGACAAUGAACUUAAGUAGGUGCUCAAAUCUCAAGGAGCUUCCAAGAAAACUGAAGCUAAAAUACCUUCAAACACUUGACGUAAUUAGCUGCUCUAAACCUGAUAAGUGUCCUGAUAUUGAUGAGAUGGAGAGCUUGACAAAACUUAAUUUAUCUCAGACUUCUACAAAAGAACUUCCUAUGUCAUCUGAAAAACUAGUCUAUGUUAAGGUUUUCUUCUGAAUUCGUGCAAUUGUCUUAUCAGUCUUCCUAGUAGCAUUUGCAAGAUGCAAAGUCUAGAGCACCUUUCUCUAAAAAAUUCUUCGAAGUUUGGCUUGUUUAUAGAGAACAGUGAGAGCUCCAAUCUACCUAAAGGUAGACGUGGAUUUCCGAAUCUAGUCUCCUUGAAGCUUAGUGGCUGCAAUCUGUCACAGGGUGAAUUCCUUCAGAGUCUUGCUUGCUUCUCUUCUUUAAAUAUUUUGCAUCUCUCAAGAAAUAAUUUUGGUUAGUCUUCCUACAUGCAUUAGCAAGUUUGAGGAGUUGAUGGUCCUCAAAUUAGAUGAUUGUAAACAACUAUUGGAGAUCCUAGAGCUUCCACCAAACAUUUGUACCUUUGAAGCAAAUGGUUGCAAUGCAUUAUCCAGAUUUCCAAAGUUGCCUAUUCAGUGCAUUUUGUCCUCCAUGGCAGUGUGCGUUCGCUUAGAUUCAUGUCAUGGAUUGGUUUGUGAAGGUAUUGACCUGGCUAAUAUUUCAUCACUGGUGAAGAAGCGAUCGGACAACCAGGUGAUGUUGAAGGCAUCGGUGGACUUGGUGGUGAAGCUGCGGUCAAUGUGGAAGGAGACAUUGCUUGUGCGAAGAACGAUGAGGAGGAGUAGAGCUGCGAUUACCGUGGGAAUAGGAGGAGUAGGCAACAUGGAGAGAGAGAGAGGAUGGUGGUGCUCCAGGAUACCGAAGCCAGACAACGGUGACGUUCCAUUCAAUGCUCAAACACGUCGAUCACUGAUGAGGUUGAGUUUGUUUAUUUAGUAGAGCAGAGCUUUUCGAGAUAUGCAUAAGGAAGAUGAUAGGGAAGAAGAUGACAGGAAAAAAAGAAGAAGAAUUAAAAACAAGAGAAAUAAUUGUGGAUUUAGCAUGAGAGGAAUUGAGACAAGUUUGAAUUUUUGAUCGAAGCCUCUUAAGGCAAUAAACCUGAUCACCUGUGCCCAUAGAUCUUAUACCCGUCGACGUUUUAACAUUGAAGGGGAAACUCCUAUGAUUACUACAACAAGGAGCAAAAAAGAUAUCAUGAUGUCUGAGUUAAUGCAAUAUGAAUCGAGGUCCAAGUAUGAUGUCAGAAAGUCAAUGCACAUAUUACACAAUUCGAUUUCAUCAAAUAUAAAUCAAGGUCCAAGUAUGAUGUCAGAAAGUCCAUGCAUGUAUUAUACAAUUCGAUUUCAUAACAAAUCGAGGUCCAAGUAUGUGCCUAUACAAGUAAAAAUAGGUUAAUAAGUAAACGUUACUCUAAAGUAAAAUCAUUCAAAGUAAUGUUUGGGGACACAUUUUGGUUCCCAUUUUUGCGACAUCUCAUUUUAAAUGGCGCUUAAUGUCAACAUGAGUAAUAUUUAACUUGUUUAUCACUUAUGCUCAUGAUUUUCCACUAAAGAAAAUAUUUUAAUGAUUUGGAAAAAGCAAUUUCGCAAUUUGGAAAUGUCAAUACCAAAUUGAAGGAAAUUGGGCUGACAGGUGAUUGCUAGUGUGGCUUGUGAAAUUAGUUCUUGCAACUAAUGACUUUUAAGCACGUGCGAGCGAACAAAUUGUGAUCAUGCAGUUCGAACUGGUGAAGUAGAUGAAGACCUGAAAAUGAAAUAGGCCAAGUUGAUUAUAUUGGGGCCGAAGAAGCGACACUAGCAUGGGGGCAUAUUUUCCGAAAGUUAGUAAAAGAAUUUGGAAAAAAAAAUUCAAUCAAAAUCAUGGCUUAUUGUAGGCUUGCAACUUUAUAAGUCAUCUUAGUUCGAAACACAAGGCAUCUUUCAAAACAUAUAAAUGAAAAUUCCAAAUAACAGCUUGAAUGAGGUUGUUUUUUUAAAGAGAGAACCUAGAGUAGGUAUUACUUUAAUAAUAGCUUGAAGUGACUACAUUAAUACGAAAUAAAUCUUUGAGCUCCUCGGUCAUUCGAAUGUUCAUGGGCUCGUGAGCAUGUGAUAUUUUCAUGGGUUGGAAUAUGAGCAUUUUUAUAACAGAAAUGAAAUGGAAAUCUGUCACUGGACUCACUCUAUCCUUGGAUUUACUCUAGAUAUAAGCAUCAAAAUCAACUUUGAUCAUUUUUCUUUCCAGAAUAAAGUCGCAAGAAGUGAAGCUAUCAAGAAAGUGAUGAGUAAAUAUUCCCCUGCACUUUUGACUAAGCAAAAAAGACAAUAAGAGAUAUCGUCAAAUCACAUUAAUUUCAUAAUGAUUGGCGUAAUUAGUGCGUUUGAUUAACACGGAAAUCCUCUUUUGGACCAAAUAAUUUGAAUGGAACGCUUAGACAAAAUCUUUCUUAGGAUCUCUCGUCCAAAGUAUCUAAUGUUUUUGAAAAGGACUUGCACUUUGAUUUGUCUGGGAUUAUUGUCGCUAAGCGUCCAAUGAAAUGGGCCUUACUCGAGUCGAAGAUCCUUCUCCGAAGUAUCAAAAACUAAGCUACUGGCGUACCAAGAAAUCGAUUACACGUGUUCUUGUAGAAAUUUUCUACUUUUUUUGAAUUUAUACAUUGAACCAAUCACGUCACUUUCAACUAAAUAAAAGCCUUGGUUUAUUUUCAUGCCCCAACAAUGAAAGGAAAAAGGUAAUACUUAUCCAAUUUGUAACUAGAAUGUCUAGUGCAUAAAGAAAAAUACUACGUACCAAUUAUUGGUGAAGACCUACUCAAAUCAAAACGCAUUUCUCAAACUAGCACUAGUAUCUUCAUACUUGCAUAAACAAUACAUCUUGUGAAAAAUAUUUAAAAUAAUUUGCAUGUCAAAGCUAUCCUCUCAAGUUAAAUAAGAGGCCUGCACUCUGAAUUUGAAUAUCUUCAUUCCCAUUGUAUACUAAUAUAUCUCUAGUAAGCGAAUCAUGAAAGGCAUACCAAAUAAUCAUGCGAAUUUUAGCCACCAAAAUCACGCUCGCGACAUUUGCCUGUUGUUCCCGGUGCCACGGUGCCUAGGUACACAUCAUCCACGUUUAGACAAAAAUACUCUUUAUUGUUAAUAUGUUCUUCUUGGAAAUGAAGAGAAAAAGAAGGACGAAUAAAUCAAAGCAAACGAAAGUGAGGUGGAAACCAUCAAAUGAGCCACAUGUCAACUCUGCAUAAAGCCCUCCACAGAGUACCAAAAUACCGUGAUAGUUCUAGAUGAAUUUAGUAAUUCAAGCCAAGAGAGAGCGCACAAACUAUAUAUAAAAGGAUUUAGUAUUUCUUAUUUGAUAUGAAAGGAGGAAAAAAACACUCAAAAUCACUUCUAGAUUGCAAGUUCUCUCAAAAUCAUCCAUCAGUCAUACUGUAACCCAUGCAAAAUAAAAAUCUCAACCUUUCGCAAUCCUUUUAUUGGCAAGAAGUGUCCAAAAGCUCCUGCAUGAUAACGUCGCCGAAAGGCAGUUGUACAUGCACUAAAUAAUAUAAUUGAGACAUCAAAGCAAAAGCUCCCAUUCCACGAACCCUCUAUACAUCAUUGCUGUUCAAAGUCUUAAGGCUCUAGCUUUUACCGGAAGAUAAAGCCGUUAUCGUAAUAUAGUUGGUUCACAAUAUCUUAUAACUAAUGACAAACACCUUUAGAUGAAUAAGUGAUUAUCUUUACUAAGAAGUUAGGAAAAAAGAGUGUUAACAUGGAAUAAGAGGUCUGACAAAAAUGAAAUAAAAAAGAAAAAAGUAUUGCUUAAAUAGUUAUUCGAUCGUGGAUAAUCCAUUAGCUGAGAAAUUCUAAAUAUGAUAUUAAAAAUAUAAAAUAAAUAUAAAAUGUCGAAAACAAAAUUAAUCAAGGAGUGAGAUCAAAGUGACUUGGCUAAGGGGGUGAUGACUCAAUAAUCUUUAGGCAAGAUAUGAUAUGGAGAAGUUUAGUUUGAAAGGUAGGGAAAAGUUGGGGAAACUUAUUUUAGGGUUUGCUUGUCUAGAAUCCAUUAUGAGAGAAAAAAUAUGUCAAAUUGUUCAUUAUAAAUAAUAAUCCAACAGGCUAUGUUAUUGCGAUUGACCCUUGUAUAUUGAUGCUAGGGGCAUAGGAGUAUUGCUAGUUUUCUUAUCUAUUUCUUUAAUUAAUGGAAAAGGCAAGUCCGGUCAAGAAGCAGGUUCCACGCACCUUCUACAAAAUGCUGUGAAAAUUACGCGUGCAUUGAUUAUCCUUUCGUUUUCUUUUCUAUCGCCAUCUGCUUUUUAUUAAAUUAGUUCAGUGGAGAAUAUGCUUGCCGAUUCAGAGCAUCAGAAUUAUCGGUUGAUUUUCAUUUUUAUUUUUUUAUUAGUAGAGAAAACAAGUCAAGACAAGAAAGGAAAAUAAUAAUAAUAAGGAUACGACAUAAAUUUUAUGCACCUCCCACGGAUAUUACGCGUGCAUUGAUUGUCCUUUUAUCUUAUUUCUAUUGCUAUCUCCUUUUUAUUAACUUAGUUGGUGGACAGUAUGCUUACCGACUCGGAUCAUCAGAAAUGAUUCGUUGGUUUUUAUUUCUAUUUCUUUAUCAGUAGAGAAAGCAAGUCAAGUCAACAGAGGAAAAGAAAGAAAGGACACGCGUAAAUUUUAUGCACCUUCCGUCGAAAUUACGCGUGCAAUAAUUCACCAACACUUUCUUUUCUAUGGCUUUCUAUGAUUAUCAUUGCCGCGUGAUUCGAGAAAGUCCUAGUCGGAAAGAAUAAAGUGAUAUACACAUGAGAGAUAAAGCUGCAACCCAACCAGACAGUAAGCAUUCUGCGUAAGCAGUAAGCACAUGAACUUUGAUCUCCUCUAAUAGCCGCUUCUUCGAAUCUGAAAGGGAAGUUCUUUCUAGGAAUCUCUCACGCUCUCUCUCAAAAAGACAAUUUCCCAUAAAAAAGAAGGAAAAAAAAGGGAGGGCGUUCACGAAAAGGGUGGAAGGGGAGAGUCGGAGACCACCAUCUUCAGGCAGCAUUUUUCUGGAAAAGAAAAAGAAAAGCAUUCCCCACCCUUUCUCCUGAACUCAACCGACCAGCCACCUCCUCCAUCUCCGUCCGACUACCUCCUGCCGGCGACUGCUUCACCGUCACCUACUUCUUUACUCUCACGAAAAAAAAAAAAGAAUCUUCGUCUUUCUCUACUCCGGGAACGGUCGCCAUUGAAGCCCCACACAAAACCUCGGAGCCACUGCCGAUCGACGUCGUCCGCCACCUCCAGAACAUCCUCCGCCCGCUGCCAUUCGUCGUCGCGGUCCCUGACCUCGGUGGAGUCGACUGAAGCCGAACACGAGUUUGGAGUCGCUAUUCUCAACCUUCGCCGCUGACGAUGGCCACGUAAACCAAGCCAGGUAGGGGCCCCAUGAUUGAAUGCUCGUUCCUUUUUUUUUUUGCCUCGUCCUGCUUGAUUUUAAAAGACCAAAGCAAGCUCGAUUUCUUUAGUCCUCACUCGCGUCGGACCUGAAUGAGUCGGUUUUUCUUAAGUUUGAACGUUGCUCGCUGAUUUCUCUUGAGUUUAGGUUUCAGCUCGAGCUCCGAAUAGGUCCAUAUUCGAAUUUGUUCCGUUCAAUGCAACAUAUGGUAUGGAAAAAUUUAGUUUGAAAAGUGAGGGAAAUUUAUUUUAGGAUUUGCUUUUGUAGAAGCCUUUUUGAAAGAAAAAAAAAGUCAGAUUGUUCAUUAUAAAUAAUAUUCCCACAAGCGGUGUUUUGCGAGUGACUCAUGUAUAGCACCCGGAGCAUGGGAGUACUGCUAGUUUUCCUUUUUAUUUAUUUUAUUAAUGGAAAAUGCAAGUCAAGUCCAGAAGCUCCUAUAUAGGAUGGUUCUGUGCAACUUAUGCAAAAUGCUGCUUUCUGUUAAAUUAGUUGCUGGAGAAUAUGCAUAUCGACUCGGAGCAUCAGAAAUGAUCUUGGUUUUCAUUUCUAUUUCUUUAUUAGUACAAAGUAUAUCCACCUAAGAGAAAGCUGCAACCCUACCGGACACUAAGCAUUCUGAGGAAGCACAUCAAACUUCAUCUCCUCUAAUGGCUGCUUCUUCAGAUUUGAAAGCAAAUUAUGAUGUCUUCCUGAGUUUUAGAGGUACAGACGUUCGAAAAAGUUUCCUUAGUCAUUUCUACACAGCGCUUGCCCAAAAAGGAAUCUACAGUUAUGUUGAUAGCGAGGAGCUUCGGAAAGGUGAUUGUAUAAAGCCGGCGCUUAUGAAGGCGAUUGAGGAGUCGUGUAUUGCGAUCAUCAUUUUCUCUGAGGACUAUGCUUCCUCACCGUGGUGUUUGGAAGAGGUGGAGAAAAUCAUGGAGUGCAAGGAGCAAAGAGGACUCACGGUAUUUCCGGUGUUUUACAAAGUGGAUCCUAGAGAAGUGAGAACACCAAGAAAGAGCUACCGAAAAGCUAUGGUUAAGCAUGAGAGAAAGUUUGGGAGAGAUUCAGAGAAGGUGAAGAGAUGGAAAAAGGCUCUCCUUGAUGCGGGUAGCUUGUCUGGGUGGGAUUUGAAGGAUAAGUAAGUACUAAGUAGUGAUUCAUGUGACACAGCUUUGUUUUUUUCUUUUUUAUAUGCUGAAUCUCUUCUUCUUUUUCCAUGAAAGUUAAUUAUAUUUGGAAAUUGAUGUAUCUAGUACCUUUCCGGAUUUUGUCAGAGAUGAAGCAGAUCUUAUCAAUAGAAUUGUGCGGGAGAUCUCUAUGCAACUGGACCGAAAACCAUUACACGUUGCCAAGCAUCCGGUUGGAAUACAUCGACAAGUGGUAAAGCUGGAAUCUAUGUUAAAUCUUGAGUCUCAUGAUGAUGUUGUCAUGAUAGGAUUAUGGGGACAAGGAGGCAUAGGAAAAACAACAUUAGCCAAAGCCCUUUAUAAUGAUAUAUUCAGAGGAUUUGAUGCUUCAUGUUUUUUGGCAAACGUUCGUGAAACUUCAAAAGAUUCCAAAGAUUUAGUUCAUUUGCAGGAAAAAUUGUUGUCUGAGAUAUUAGUGGGAAAAGAAUUAACAAUGUUUAGUGUUGAUGGAGGUAUUAAUUUGAUGCAACAUAGACUUUGCCGCAAAAGAGUCCUCCUUGUUCUCGACGAUGUCAAUGACGUAAAACAAUUAAAUGCUUUAGCUGGAGGGCGUGAAUGGUUUGGUAAAGGAAGCAGAAUCAUCAUUACUACAAGAGAUAACCAUCUAUUAACUGUCCAUGGGAUAGAUGAAGAUCAUAUCUAUGAAGUUAAAAUUCUAGAUGAUUUGGAAGCUCUUGAACUUUUCGAUAAACAUGCUUUUCUUGGAAGUAAGGAAAUAGUGAUAAGCAGGGAUCUUGUGGAUAGUGCUUUGCAUUAUGCUGAUGGCCUUCCUUUAGCACUUGUGGUAUUGGGCUCUUACUUAUGUGGUAGAAGAGAACAUGAGUGGGAAAGCGCAUUGAAUAAACUUGCUAAAAGUCCUGACAAAACCAUCAAUGAUGUUCUCAAGUUAAGUUACGAUGGAUUAGAGGACUGUGAAAAGGAGAUAUUCCUUGAUAUUGCAUGUUUCUUCAAGGGGCAAUCUAUAGAGUACAUCAUGGAAGUCCUUAACAGUUGCGACUUUGACACAACUAUUGGAGUAGAAGUUCUUGUUGAGAAGUCCUUAAUAACUAAAGAAUGGGAUUCAAUACAAAUGCAUGACUUGAUUCAGUUGAUGGGCAUGGACAUUGUUAAACAAGAAUGUCGCGAUGAUCCUAGAAGACGCAGUAGGUUAUGGCUUUGUGAAGACGUCCAUGAUGUUCUGUCAGGGGAUAUGGUAAGUUUUGGUGGUUUAAACACUGAUUUUACUCACUUCUUCUCUAACUUCGUAAACUAAUUGCAAUGCAAGUUCUAUAAAUGCAGGGCACAAAUGCAGUAAAAGCCAUAGUUUUGGUUUUACCCCAGGCAGAAACAAUAUACAUAGGUCCAAAUGCUUUCACAAACAUGAGAAUGUUGAGGUUGCUUGUCAUGAUUAAUGUGCAUAACUCUUUCCAAGGUCCUAUCUGUCUUCCUAAUGCACUGAGAUGGUUUCAAUGGCCUGAAUGUUCUUCUUCGGUUCUUGAAUUUCUCCCUGGCCCAAAGAAGUUAGUCAAACUUGAUCUACGAAAAAGCAACAUUCAAGUCGUGAUGGACCAAUUUAAGGUGCGCAUUCAAAUGAUUUUCCCUAUUUACUUAUCUCUUACAUAUCUAUAUCCGUAUGCAUAUGAUUGUGAUUAUAUAUAUGUCUUAUUGAAAACUUUGGAUGCAACAAUUACUAACUCUGAUGAUGCUCGUUAAUUGUGCUUAAGAAACAUCUGCAUCUAUUACAUUGUUUAUAUUUGAUUAAAGCAUUAAAAACAAGAUGUUGAUCUACUGCAUGAACUAACAUAAGCGGAUUCUUCCAGUUUUAGGGGAGUAUUAAACACUUUCCUAUGUAAAUUUUAAUGUCAAUUCGAACAAAAGAUACUCACUAAAAAAGUUCAAUCUCAUUUCUAAAUGUUAGAGGUACUGAAAUUAUAAGAAGAAUGGACUUAUACGGUCAGUAACUUUGAUACCGAAUAUUGGAACAAGAACUUAUUGGUGACAUAAUUUAACAAUUGAAUGGUGAAAGUGCUUAGUGUUCUAAUAAACAUGAAUGAGGAUUCAAUUUGCGUGCCUCUGAAAUGAUAGAUACUGAAAAUGCUAUCAAAGAUUCUAUAUAAGAGACGAGCUUACUAGAUUCUUUUCGAAAUUGCAUAUGAAAAUAGACUGAGAUUUUUCUUGCUUAUUUGCUUUACCAUUGAAGUGAAUGCAUGCUAAGUACUUUUGAUUGAACCUCCCAUUGUUGUUUCUAUGAUAGAAUGCAAUCAAUAAUGAAAAGAGAGAUGUAGAAAUCAUGUAGUAAAGGAUCUUUAAAGGAGUUGAGUCUUUACUGUAAGUCAGCCCCAAAAGUCAUGUCUCUUUUUAUUGUACCGACCUAACCAGAGAUUUCGGGCAAGUAUUUGUUUAUUUUUAGGAGGAGGAAUAAGCAGAACUCCAAGAAAGUUAUAUUCAUCUUUACGGAUAAAAUAUUCAUUUUCAAAUAUAACUGGGAGUUUAUCCUUCUCCUUCCAAGUACGUAACACGUUCCCCUCCUUUCCAUUCAAUCGGCCCAUUCGGUUGCACUCUUACUCCAUUUAUUCCUAAGUAAGAAAUCACAAGACGAAAAGCAACUCUCGAGGGAGAUAGAUUGACCAGCCAGUCCUUCUCCCGCUUUUUUAAAUAAAGGCUUGUGGAGUACAAUUCCAUGAAGAGUCUUACUUUAUCGAGGCGGUAGUGCACCACAUCUAGGACGCUGGUAGCAGGCAAUGGCUUUCACGCAUGACUAAUAAGGCUUUCUAAAGAGAAGUGAAAAAGGGGCUCGUUUUGCUAAUUUAAAUAUAUUUAAACCUAAAUCUAAUCUAAAGUUAUGUAUGUAUGUAUUAUAUUUAUAUUAAUAUUUAUACUACUGCACAAAGUAAAGGUGACCUUCCACAGGAUCUCAAUUUAAUUUCUUCCCCAAAAUGUCUUGAUUACUUAUUUUACAAAUAUCGUAUUCAUAGAGUGGUGCGUAAACUAUAAAUUUAUUUGAUCUCUCACAUGUUUCACAAUCUAAAUAUUAAUCUUUUCUAUGCUACAAUAAAUUUCUUACUGCAAAUUCUAAUCUUGAAAUAUUUGACAUAUAUCCUAUGUUUGUGUAUUGUGUAUUUACCAACAAUUUAUUUUCAUUAAAUAUUUCUAAUUUGGUGGUAUUGCUCAAUUUUUCAAAUCUUGUGCAUACUCUUAUAUUUUUCUCUUCCUAUGCCUCCUAUGAGACAAACUUUGUGGGCUUUCAAUUAUUGCUGUCAUGAUCGUCGGCCACACUGAUGUCGGAACGUAUUGAACGAACUAAUAAAUAAAAGGGUUUUUCAAUCUUAAUGAAUUGGAAAAACCCCGCUACAAAGGAUAGGAAGAGACUACCUUAGGAGGAUAGUCCAAGGAUGCAGCACCCUCAUGAUCACUCAUGAGUCAACUAAAAGGACGGAGAGAAAGAAAAGAUAGAAUAGAUAGUAUGAAACUUCAUUUAAUAAAUUUGUCGUGUUUACUAUAUGAGAGACCAAGAGGGCACUUAUAAGUUGGAGCCUAAGAUAGCUUUGAGUAACCUCCAAGUAAAGAAAAAUGAACCCAAAACACGAAAUUCAAAUAGGCUACAAUAUAAUCACAUUGUAAUCGAGACUAAAGCAAUCCUAAAAAGUAUGAAACAUGCUCACCGAUCAAGAAAAUAUAUUUUAGACCCAUUAUUCUAUUCCCGAGAGAGAAUCUUGAAAUCUUAAAAAGACCCCUCCUAGAGGCCAACUUCAUAGUGAUAGAUUAGCAACAUUGAAACUAGUGGAAACACCAUUCUCUCUGCAAAGCUCACUUUUGUAGGCAUUAUUAUCGAUGCGUUCCAAAACUAGAAAAGAACCGUCCGUAGCACAAAGACUAGGUAGAAAGCACUCUUCUCAAAUGAAUGAAGAAAAAAUCACCUUCUUUAAAAACAGCAGGCUUUUUCUAUGUUUUUUUGCUUGACUGUAUAUUUGACAAUUUGCUUCGAACUUAUCUUCCUCACGUAACUUAUUGAUUGUCUUAGCUCUUUCUCCAUAUUGGUGGUGGAUAGUGGUGUAAGAUCCAAAGGACUUAAAAAGAUGCUUUCGCUACACAACAUAAGGGGUUGUCUUUGGAAUAUCAUGUAGGUGCACAAUUUCUCUUAUAUAAAGUUCAGCAACAUAUAACGGAUCAAGGGUCUACUACAUUCAACAAAAUGUGUGAUUCUCAAAAAUCAAUCGACCAAGCGCCAUGACCUAAUAAGAGAUGACACGAGAGAUUCCCGAGCCUCCACUGCCAUUAUGGCAGGUUUGCAUAUCUCUGCAUAAGAUUGUAGAUCCAUCAAGUGCCACCUAUGUUAGCUUAAAUUCAUGUCAUGAAUUAGCUAGCAAAGGAUUUGACCGUGGCUCAUGUCCUCACACUUGAGGUUACCCUCUCUCUGAAUUAUAUGUAUUGUUUUUGAACAUACACAUAGGAGAAGUGGCCACCCACUUAGCAUUGGAAUGAUUUCUCUUGUAUGUCGCUUGAUAGAGCUCUAGUGUGUGGUGGAAUUAUGAGUAUUAUUCUUUUUUUUAUCUUCUCUUUCGGCCAAGGAUCGCGCAAUAAACUCAUAUUUAAAAGGGAGAGGGAGUGCUCUAUGUACACCAUAUGAUCAACUAAUUCUUAUCACAUGGGGCUUGAAUGAUGAUCAUGUGUUUAUCAUUAAAUAUUUUUCUCUUCAUUUUUUUUUUCCACAGGACUUUAAAAAUUUGAAGUUCCUUAACUUCAGUAAAUGUCCGUCAGUGGUUUGUAUGCCAAACCUUGAUUUGACUCCAAAUCUUGAAGAACUGGAUCUUCAUGGGUGCAAAAAUUUGGAGCGUGCUCACGAAUCAGUUGCAUAUCAUGCCAAGUUACGGUUGUUGAAUUUAAAAGGGUGUUCUAACCUUUAUCAUUUCCUUGAUGUGCUCCAAUCCAAGAAUCUUCAAGUUCUCAAUCUUAUUGGUUGCUCAAAGUUGCAAAGAUUCCCUGAUAUUCCGGAUAAAAUCAAAGGCUUAGAAGAACUUUAUUUAAGAGGGACUUCAAUUGAAGAACUUCCUACAUCCAUAGAAAAUCUUGUCUAUUUGGAGAAAUUGAAUUUAAUUGAUUGCAAGAAAUUGGCAAACCUCCCACCUAGCAUUUACAAGUUGUCAAAUCUUGAGCGCUUGAUACUUAGUGGUUGUUCAAAACUAAAAAAGUUUCCCAUAAAGGAGGAUUUGUGUGACCCGCAUAGCAAGAUGGGGUUUCCUAAGCUAGUGACCUUAAGGCUUGAGGGAUGCAAUCUAUUGGAAGGAGAGUUCCUGAAGAAUCAUUCAUGUUUUCCACGGUUAAGAAAUUUGUAUUUGUCCAUACACAAUUUUGCUAAGCUUCCAACGUUCUUUCCAGCUUGGCAUUAGAGUAUCAAGUGGCGUAAUUGUAAAAAAGUGCGGAUUUCGAAUAAUAUGCAAGUCAUUAGAGGAUGAUUUGGAGUUUUUGUAUCAAGAGAAAAAGUUGCAGGAUCCAGGUUUGAUCUAUGAGAUUUGGCAUAGCGAUGAAGAAACAACCACAGAGGAAGAAAGGCACCCGGCAAAUAAGGUCUCUCUCUCUCCCCCUUCCCCCUCCGUGAUUGUGGAGGGUGUGUGCGUUUGAUAUGGGUGCAUUGUGUUUGUAUAAUGCAAAAGCUGCAAAUGCUAGUAGACAAAACAAGCUAAUAUAUUGUGAUUUUGCACCUGUAUGUGAUAGCUGGGGCGAUUCCAUGAAGAGGAUGCAAUCUUACAACAAGACCCUAUAUCUUCUGACGACGAAUACGACGAGAUGCUGCCUAGCAAGGGCGACGAGGCUUAUAUUGAUCUCAUGCCUAGCUUCCCACGCAACGAUAUCAUGGCUGACUUUUCAGUUGAGGUCUCUCUCUCUCUCUCUCUCUCUCUCUCUCUCUCNNNNNNNNNNNNNNNNNNNNNNNNNNNNNNNNNNNNNNNNNNNNNNNNNNNNNNNNNNNNNNNNNNNNNNNNNNNNNNNNNNNNNNNNNNNNNNNNNNNNNNNNNNNNNNNNNNNNNNNNNNNNNNNNNNNNNNNNNNNNNNNNNNNNNNNNNNNNNNNNNNNNNNNNNNNNNNNNNNNNNNNNNNNNNNNNNNNNNNNNNNNNNNNNNNNNNNNNNNNNNNNNNNNNNNNNNNNNNNNNNNNNNNNNNNNNNNNNNNNNNNNNNNNNNNNNNNNNNNNNNNNNNNNNNNNNNNNNNNNNNNNNNNNNNNNNNNNNNNNNNNNNNNNNNNNNNNNNNNNNNNNNNNNNNNNNNNNNNNNNNNNNNNNNNNNNNNNNNNNNNNNNNNNNNNNNNNNNNNNNNNNNNNNNNNNNNNNNNNNNNNNNNNNNNNNNNNNNNNNNNNNNNNNNNNNNNNNNNNNNNNNNNNNNNNNNNNNNNNNNNNNNNNNNNNNNNNNNNNNNNNNNNNNNNNNNNNNNNNNNNNNNNNNNNNNNNNNNNNNNNNNNNNNNNNNNNNNNNNNNNNNNNNNNNNNNNNNNNNNNNNNNNNNNNNNNNNNNNNNNNNNNNNNNNNNNNNNNNNNNNNNNNNNNNNNNNNNNNNNNNNNNNNNNNNNNNNNNNNNNNNNNNNNNNNNNNNNNNNNNNNNNNNNNNNNNNNNNNNNNNNNNNNNNNNNNNNNNNNNNNNNNNNNNNNNNNNNNNNNNNNNNNNNNNNNNNNNNNNNNNNNNNNNNNNNNNNNNNNNNNNNNNNNNNNNNNNNNNNNNNNNNNNNNNNNNNNNNNNNNNNNNNNNNNNNNNNNNNNNNNNNNNNNNNNNNNNNNNNNNNNNNNNNNNNNNNNNNNNNNNNNNNNNNNNNNNNNNNNNNNNNNNNNNNNNNNNNNNNNNNNNNNNNNNNNNNNNNNNNNNNNNNNNNNNNNNNNNNNNNNNNNNNNNNNNNNNNNNNNNNNNNNNNNNNNNNNNNNNNNNNNNNNNNNNNNNNNNNNNNNNNNNNNNNNNNNNNNNNNNNNNNNNNNNNNNNNNNNNNNNNNNNNNNNNNNNNNNNNNNNNNNNNNNNNNNNNNNNNNNNNNNNNNNNNNNNNNNNNNNNNNNNNNNNNNNNNNNNNNNNNNNNNNNNNNNNNNNNNNNNNNNNNNNNNNNNNNNNNNNNNNNAUUGAAAAUUUGAUCAUCAACAAUGUAUCCCUGGUGAAAGGCUUUGAACUACAACAUUCUAAGCAUAAGCCAAUAUGUGAUACAGGAUUCAUUAUCAAUUUCUCCGCCCCCCCCCCCCCCCCCCCCCCCCCAAAAAAAAAAAAAAAUCGUAAGUGCAUGUGUUGGUUUGUUGGAGUGUAUGCCGGGCACACUAUGUUUGUAUAAUGCAAAAACCGAAAAUUCCAAACAAACAAGCAAAUCUAACAUAAAGCGAUUCUGCAGUUACAUGUAAUACACUCGCAAGUGAAUGAUUUCUUGAGUAUUACAUAUAAGGCAAGGAAGGAUCAAUAUGUUUAAUUAUUAGAAAACUCCAGCUUUGGUUAAAUUACGAGAAAAAUUCUCAAAUCAAACUCUUCUAUUUGAACUAAUUAUCAACUUGAGUACAUCUAACAAUUUAUUGGUAUAACAGAGGUAUCGCUAUCCCACAAUUUCUACUUACUCCAGAGAUAUUCUCCCUGGAGGAGAUAUGCCAGAGGAGUUCGUCCUUGUUGAAGGCAGUACCAUAUCUUUCAUGGUUUCACGAGACUUUUAUGAUAAGUUCAUGGGAUUAGCUCUCUGUGUUGUUUUCAGUGUAGACAAUGGAGAAAAGGAAAUACUUUUCGACAUCGUGCCCCAUGUUAACGGCCAAAGACGAAAUAGGCUAUCAGGAUCUCUUGGUUCAUUUGAUUCGGAUCACAUGUGGAUUCAAUAUCUCAAACCAAAUGUGCUGUGGGGAAUGUUGGAGGGAGCAGUUGAUUUUCUUGAAUUUGAUGAGGAUCGCUUACGAUUUAGCCUCACACUCAGCAUAUUGGGUGGAACUAUGAAAAAGUUUGGAUAUGUGCUAAGAUGCAAGCAAAUAGAUGAUGAUUUGAAGGUUGUGCUUGAAGACAAUCAAUUAGUGGAUCCAGCUUCAAUCUAUGAAAUGAAGUUCGAAGAAUUCUUUUACAAAUUUCUCCCACGCCAAAAGAAGGGAUUGGAAUGCCAAAGGGAGGAAUCGAAACGCCUAAUGGAGGAAUCGGAAUGCCAAGAGGAAUGCGCAAGGGAGAAAUUGAAACAGCAAAUGGAGGAAAUGAACGCCAGUGACAGCAGUGACAACGAAACAGAUUAAAUGGGAAGAGGCGAGUGUAGUAGUGUUGGCAUGCAGCUCUAAAGUACGCAAUUAUUAAGCUAGCGGAACAAAUUGAGGGUUGGCAUAUGUUUCCCGAUAUGUCGGAACAUCUGUGUUUGUCGUUGAAGUAAGAGAUGGCGUUCAAUUCAAUAUCUAAUGUUAGAUUCGAAAAAUGGAGAGAGGGUGACUUGGUAAGGCACUUCAAUCCAAUAGAACGUGGCAUCAUGUUUGGUUCAAAUAUCUCCAGCACGUGUAGUCAAAUCAUAUCAAUAAAUGAUAUAUCAGUGUUUUUCAUUACUUAGAUUGGGUGGAGUUAACAAAAAUACUAAAUUGUAUUGAUUGGACAGAUUUUAAGACUAGAUUUCACUUUUUGAAAGUUUUGGAACUUAUUUUACAACUUAUGGAGUACUUAUUUAUAAACAAAUUGUAUUCAUAUUUCAUUUCCCCCAUGCAUUGUUUCCCUUUACUUGGGUAAUUUCAAUUUUUUCUUACGCAGUUUAUAGACGAAGCAAAAAGAUUUGCGGUACUAAUGUGUUUCUAUACAUAUUCCUGUUAUAGCCAUAUGUUAAUCUUUGCUCAUUGCCAAAAAAAUAAUCUUUGUUAUGCCCUUAGUUAAUGUUAGUCGUUAGUGAACUUAAAUUAAUAUAGUAAAUUUCAUCAAAUAGUCGUAAUAAAUAACAAAAUUUCUCAGUAAAUAUUCCAGAACAAGUGUAAAUCACCCGAAAUCCUCAAAAUAUAGUUAUUAACUUUGCAGUAUAACUUUCCAUCACAAACAUCCCCUUCGUUAUUUUAAUUUGUGGACAUCAUCAUUAUUCAGUUCUCCAUUGAUACAGCAAUUCUCGUCUUUAUUUGUAAAUGAUAGUAUUUGUACAUCAUAAGUAUUUUUCUGACAGUCAUAAGUCCCGUGAAGUCCUCAUGAUCAUUGCUAUGCAUGUAGUUAGUAACUUUCUUUUAAGGUUAGCAACUUGAUUGUGGAGUUUAUAUCUUGAUGAUCCUAUCCCUUAGGAAUUAUCCAAUAGUAUGGUAAAUUCCUUGAUCGAACUUGUAACUGACAGUAUGGAUAUUUAGUAACUACAAAGUGCAUAUCAACAGCGAUACCUGCUAGAGAGUCCUUGCAACUUUGAGUGAUGAUGAGUAGCAUUUCUUCAAAGGGAGUAGGUUUCCCCAAAGUUUUUACAGCUUGGGAGUUCUAGCAUUCAAAAACUUUUUGAGGACCAUCCCCUUGUUUGAGAAAAUUAUUUUAUUCCGCAGUCAGAUCACUAAUGACUAACAUGAUAUGACUAGCCAAUCAAAUUGAUCGUAUAAAAUGCCAGUUCUCUUACAUGACACUUAAAAUUUGAAAUUUAUUUGCUUCCCGCACCACACGUCUCUAUCACAUCGUAUAACAUUAUGAACGUGUCCCUUGUAUUGACACGCCUCUUUUUUUGUGGUGAUUCUAAAUUUUUUUUUUUUCCAAAAGGUGAUUCUAAACUUGACUAGCACUCUUCAAUGAUCAUCCUCUUACACCACAUGCACACAAACACAAAUAGAUCAUAUCUUGUAAAUUCUCUCUCCUUUCUUUUGUCAAUUGACCUUUCUUUUUCUUUCCCUUUUUAUCUUUUCUUUUGCUUUUCUUAAUGAUCAAAGGCAAAUGAUUGAUUGGAUCUCUUAUAAGGAUAACUUUUCUGCUUGUUUUGGUACUCAUUUUUUUAUCAUUAUAUUAGGUUUUGAAUUUAUGAUUGGUAGAUCUCAAUAUUCUUAAUAAAUCUCUCUCCGUUUUUCCUUGAUGAUAAUUGUGGGUAGCCAGCCUUUCUUUUUUUCGAAAGAUUUUCUUUUUUGAUGGAAAGGACAAAGGGAGUUCUUUUGGCUUAAAAUCUGACUAAUAUUCAUUACUUGCUUGACUUGAUUCUUUCAAGCAUUCAUUGAAAAGGGCUUCAAUUUGAUCAAUUCAAUUGAGGUAUCUGGAAACAAUAUUUUUUUCUUAUUUCUUCAUUUGAAAUAGGCUCUUUUUCUAUUUUUGUAUUAUUUCUAAAUUCAAGGACUAACUACUUAAUCACAAAUAAAAAAAUGGGAAAUGGAUUCAUAGGUCCAAUGCCUUGUAAUAGAACUUAGGGUUAAUAAAAAUAGUAGAUCACAUAAAUUCAACAAAUGAGGUGGGUUCAUUAACAAUUCAAAGAUGAAAAAAUGGUUAAAAAAGAAAGCAUUUCUUCCUCUUCUAUAUCUUACAUCCAUAGUAAUUUGCCCCGGUGGAUCUCUCUCUCAUUUAAUAAAAGUCUUGAAUUUUGGAUUACUAAUAGGUGGAAUACCAAACAAUCCGAAACUUUUUUUUACUGAUAUUCAAGAAAAGAGUAUUCUAGAAAAAUUCAUAGAAUUAGAAGAACUCUUACUCUUAGACGAAAUGAUAAAAGAAUACCCAAAAACACGUCUACAAACACUUCAUAUAGGAAUCCACAAAGAAACGAUCCAAUUGAUCAAGAUACACCUUAAGGAUCAUAUCCAUAUGAUUUUGCACUUAUCGACAAAUAUGACCUCUUUCAUUAUUUUAAGUGGUUAUUCUAUUAUGGGUAAUGAAAAACUUGCUAUUCUUAAAUCUUUGGUUCAAGAAUUCCUAUAUAAUUUAAGUGACACAAUAAAAGAUUUUUAUAUUCUUUUAUUAACUGAUUUAUGUAUCGGAUUCCAUUCGCCCCAUGGUUGGGAACUAAUGAUUGGCUAUGUCUACAAAGAUUUUGGAUUUGCUCACAACAAUCAAAUUAUAUUGAGUCUUGUUUCUACUUUUCUAGUCAUUUUGGAUACAAUUUUUAAAUAUAUAUAUAUAUAUAUAUAUAUAUAUAUAUAUAUAUUCCAACUAGACUAUUUUUAAUCUAAUACUGGCCCUCCUACGCUCUAAUUGGAAUGACCCCGGCAGAGCCAAUCUACAAAAUCAAUGGACCAAAGAUUUUAAAACCACGCAUCAUGUAUUUUCCUGUUAAAAUUCUUCUUGAUUCAUAAUACAAAAUGGUUGAACAUAACCAAAAGAUAGACCUUAAACACAUAGAUAACAAUUAUAUCGAUUAUUUUAAAUCAGAACUUUAUCUAAGUAUUUAAUAAGAAAGUCUAUUAUAGCUAGGUACACUUUGUUGAAGAAAUCUUCCUGGAGUAUUUUGAAGCUGACAAAACGUUUCCAUUAGUCUAGUCUGAAGAUUUGCAGACUCUUCUAUUCAAAGUCUGAAGACCUCCGGACUGCCAGACUCAAGACUCAAAGUCUAUUCUCAUUGACAGUUUCUAAUCCAUCGAAUAAGGGUCAUCCAGAACUGGGUGUUUCAUUAAGGAUUUGACCUUAUCGACUGGAGAAGAUCUCUUGGCUGGAUAUGUCAUAACGAAAUCCUUUAUUUGAUCAUGAUUGAUUCAGAGAUUAAGGAUCCGAUGAUUGGCGAUGUAUACUUGGAAGGUUCUACUUAUGGAAACCAAGAUCCUGAUUGUAUGGGCGAGCAUGAUUGAUGGGCUAUCGACAUGUUCCUUUAAUAGCUCGAAUGAUCUUCCUAAUUGAUUCCGUCCAACGGGUAGAUUGGAGGAAUUCAUUUGGUAAGUGCCAACGGGUAUGAUGGCAUAAAGGAGUAUAAAAGGAAGACGUUCCAGUUGUUCGAGUGUGUGUGCGAUAGAAGAAUUCCAAAAUUUGAAGCUCUUUGUUCUUAGUCAAUUAAUUUGUUGAGCGAAAUCUUGUAUGCAAAAGAGAGUUUAUAUUCUGAGACACCUUGAGGAAGUGUGGUAGACUAUCUACACUGUGGAAUCAAGGGAAAGACUUGUUGUAACAUCUCUUUUGUUCAUAGUGGAAUCCAGCCGGUGGGCUGUCAGUGCAGAAGAGUGGACGUAGGCUUGGAAUAAGCCGAACCACUAUAAACCUUGUGUUCAAUUUUCUCUUCCCUAUUCUCUGCUUUACUUUGAUCAUAAUUCGUCUUGUUAACCAAAGAAGAACUUCCUUUCUAUUAUCUGCUUAGUAUUGUUCUUAUAUCACGAAGAAUUAUUUUUACACCUAUUCACCCCCUCUAGGUGUUUAUACUAGCUAUCUCAAUUGGUAUCAGAGCCUGUAUACUCACUUUGCUUGAACUAUUUUACUUCAGAGUUAAAGAUCCAUGGCUAGUAUGUUAACUCCAGGGCUGGUAGAAGGGCAAAACAAUACCAGACCGCCUUACUUUGAUGGAAAUGAUUACAACAUAUGGAAAAACAAGAUGAAGGCGUUUCUAAGAUCAAAGGAUCCUCUGGAAUGGGACGUUGUAGACAAAUGAAUCAUUCCUAAAGCUGCAUCUAUUUCAGAAAGAGGAAAAGAUACUGUUGAGUCUAGUGAAAUGACUUAGGAAGAGAUAAUCAAGAGACAAGUUCUUGAUGCAAAAACAAUUUAUUCUUUAUAUUGUGCAUUGUCACCUACUGAAUAUAACAGAAUAUCUUCUUGUUCUACAGCUAAAGAAGUCUGGGAUAGAUUACACAUCACUUAUGAAGGAACUGAUCGAGUGAAAGAAACUAGAAUCAACAUUCUGCUCGGUCAAUAUGAAGCAUUCAAAAUGAAAUCUGGAGAAUCUAUCACUGACAUGUUUAGUCGUUUUACAGAGAUCGUGAAUGACCUUAAAAAUCAACGGCAACCAAUUUCUGAUUCCAUGAAAGUAAACAAGCUUCUACGUGGACUCUCUAAGGAUUGGAAUCGCAUAAAGAAUUAUGCCACUUUCGGUCGAUGAAUUGAUUGGGACUCUUCAGUCUUAUGAAGUAGAGCGAAUCAACGAAGAUGAAGAUCCUAAAGGUAAGAAAUCUAUUGCAUUAAAAUCUAAUGAUGAUUCUGAUGUCAUAGAUUCUGAAGACGAUAUGGAUGACGAAGAGCUUGCUCUCAUGAUAAGAAGAUUUAGAAAACUGAACAUAAAAGGAAGAAGAUUCAAUCCAAAGAAACAAAUUUUUCAAAAGCAACAAACUAAGUCUGUUGAGGAUGAUGAAUCAAACAAAGAUGUAGUCUGCUUUGAAUGCAAGAAAAAGGGACACAUUAGACCUAACUGUCUUCUUUUGAGGAAGAAGAAAGGAAAAGCUGAAAAGUAUCGAAAGGCUCUUAAAGCAGAAACCUAGAGUGAUACAGAGUGUGAAGAAAGUGAUGAUGAUUAUGCCAAUAUAUGUUUGAUAGCACAAUCAAAUUCAGAUUCAAACUCCGAAAUAGAAUCAGAUUCAGACAGUGAAUUUGAGGUGAGUAACUUUAAAAUCCCUAUUAAAGUUUCUAAAUACAUUGAUGAGUUGUGUUUCAGUCUUAAGAUUUCUCUUAAAAGGAUUUCCGAACUUAAAAAGGAAAAUUCUAUACUAAAACAACAAGAAAAUGUUUUGAAAGAAAAUGUCAAAGUUUUAGACAAAAAUAUUUCUACCUUGAAAGAAAAUGAAGGCAAUCUUUCAAAAGAAAAUGCAUUCUUGAAAAAUGAUAUCUCAAAUAUUUCCAAAAGAUUUUCUAUAGGAUCUAAGAAACUGGAAAAAAUUCUUUCUGUUCAAAGACCUUAUUUCAAUAAAUUUGGUUUGGGAAUGUCUGCGGAAACCAUUCCUUUAAUUGAUUUUCAUAAAGUAAAGGAAAGAAUUAAGCAAAGACCCACAAGAGAUGCUUACAAAAAUCAUUUUAAAAAGAUCUUUGUAAAACCAGUAGGUUGCAAUGCUCUCAAAUGUUCAAAGUGCAAUAGUGCAGAUCAUUUUGAAAAAUAAUGUCCUAUGGUUUGGAAACCUGUUAAGAAAGUAUGGACAAAAACCGCAUGUCAUACUAACACCAAUGGACCCAAGAAAAUAUAGGUACCAAAGAAAGUUUGAGUUUCUUUUUUAAAUGCAGGUUACUAUAAAAAAGAAGGUAAAAUGGUAUCUGGAUAGUGGAUGCUCAAGACAUAUGACAGGAGAUUCAAAUUGCUUCAUAAAGCUCGUUCAAGUAAAUGGUGGAAAAGUCUCAUUUGGAGGAAACGGCAAAUGAAGAAUUGUGGGAUUUGGAACUGUAAAGAUUGGAAACCUCACAAUAAACAAUGUUUCCUUAGUGGAAUGACUCAACUACAAUCUGCUAAGUAUCAGUUAGCUAUGUGAUACCGGUUUCAAAAUCAACUUUCAAGAUGGAAUAUGUUCAAGAACCAGUAAGAUUCUACUCAGUCAUUCAUGGGUCGAAGACAUGGAAAUAUCUAUCUCCUGGAUGUGAAACUAGAUGAAUCGCAAUGUCUAAUCUCAAUUCAAGACGAAGCGAACUUAUGGCACAAAAAACUUGGGCACAUCAAUAUGAAGCAGAUAGCCAAAAUUUCAGCAAAAAGGCUUGUUCGUGGUUUACCCAAUCUAUCAUACCAAAAGUCUGAUCUAUGUACACCAUGCAUAUUGGGAAAGCAAGUAAGAAAUUCCUUUAAACCAAUAAAUCAAGUUUUCACUAAUCGUGUACUACAGCUCCUGCAUAUGGAUCUCUUUGGACCAACCAGAACUCAGAGUAUUGGAGGUAAGAAAUAUUGCCUAGUAAUUGUGGAUGACUACUCACGAUUUACCUGGGUAUAUUUCCUGGCAAGUAAGUCUGAAACCUUCUCUUACUUUGAAAAGUUUGCUAAAAAUGUUCAAAAUGAAAAAUUGUAUGUUAUUUCAAGUAUAAGAACAGACCAUGGAGGUGAAUUUGAAAAUCAAGAUUUUACAAAGUUUUGUGAUGAAUCUGGUUUUCAACAUUUGUUCUCCUCUCCAUAUACUCCAGAACAAAACAGAGUUGUGGAAAGAAAGAAUAGGUCACUUCAAGAAAUGGCUAGAACUCUUUUAAUUGAAAGUAACAUAUCUUCACGUUUUUGGGCCGAAGCAGUUUCUACAGCAUGUUAUAUUAUUAAUAGAGUUUUUCUAAGACCAAUUCUGGAAAAAAAAAAACCCCUAUGAGUUAUUCAAAGAAAAGAAGCCUAUUGUUUCAUAUUUUCAUGUGUUUGGAUGUAAAUGUUUUAUAUUGAAAAAUGCAAAUGAUCGAGUUGGCAAGUUUGAAGAAAAAUCAAACGAAUGCAUCUUCCUUGGAUAUUCAACCAUAAGCAAAGCGUAUAGAGUCUACAACAAGAAGACUCAAUCUGUGGAGGAAUCAAUGAAUGUCAAAUUCCAAGAUUCUAUGCAAAACGAAUCUAUUUAGACUCAUCUUGAAGAAUCUGAAUCUGCUCCAGAUUCUACUAAGUCUAAAUCUCAGGAAGCAGCUUAGACUUCGAAAGACCAGCAACAAAUGAUUGUUGAAGAUUCAAAUGAAGAAAGUGAUCAUCAAUUUGACAAAUCAACCAGUAACUGGAAGCAUAAGUCCAGUCAUCCCAAAGAUCUCAUUAUUGGUGACAUUAAUGAAGGAAUUUGCACAAGAUCCAAAAGGCGCGAAGAGUCUAGUGCCGUGGCUCUUAUUUCUGAAAUAAAACCCAAAAGCAUAGAAGAAGCUUUAUUUGAUGAAAGCUGGAUUGAAGCUAUGCAAGAAGAACUCAUGCAAUUCAGCAUUAAUGAUGUUUGGGAGUUGACUCCUAAACCGAAAGGUAAAUCUAUUAUUGGAACUAAAUGGGUUUUCAAGAACAAGAUGAAUGAGAAAGGAAAGGUCGUAAGAAACAAAGCAAGACUCGUGGCCAAGGGAUAUACGCAAGAAGAAGGGAUAGACUAUGACGAGACUUACGCACCAGUAGCAAGGUUAGAAGCAAUUCGAUUAUUACUUACUUUUGCUUGUUAUAAGAAUUUUAGGUUAUUCCAAAUGGACGUCAAAAGUGCUUUCCUAAAUGGAUUUAUCCAUGAGGAAGUCUAUGUGGAACAACCACCUGGGUUUGAAGACCCAAGGAAACCAGACUCAGUAUUCAGACUGAAAAAUGCCUUAUAUGGUUUAAAGCAAGCACCUCGAGCUUGGUACGACAGGCUGAGUAAGUUUUUAAUUCAAAACGGCUUUGUCAAAGGUAAAGUAGACACUACUCUGUUUAUCAAAAGAGAAAACGAAAGUUUUCUGCUUGUUCAAAUAUAUGUUGAUGAUAUUAUUUUUGGAUCCUCUAAUGAAAGUCUGUGCAAGAAAUUCUCUAAGUCUAUGCAGGAUGAAUUUGAAAUGAGCAUGAUGGGUGAACUAACAUUCUUUCUUGGACUUCAAGUGAAACAACUGAAGGAAUGAACUUUUAUUCAUCAAUAAAAAUAUGCCAAUAAUCUUGUCAAAAAGUUUGGACUGGAAAAUUGCAAAAAGACUGAUAUACCAAUGUCAAGCUCUUUGAAGAUAGACAAAGAUGAAGGAGGAAAGAAAGUUUACCAGAAGCUAUACAGGAGUAUCAUUGGUUCACUUCUUUAUCUUACUGCUUCUAGACCUGACAUUCUGUUUAGUGUUUGCAUUUGUGCUGGAUUUCAAGCAGACCCAAAAGAAUCUCAUCUGAGUGCCGCAAAGCGUAUUAUCAAAUACAUUGCAUCAACUUCGAGCAUUGGUCUUUAGUAUCCUAAAAAGGGAGACUUUACUCUUCUCGGAUAUUCAGACGCAGACCUAGCCGGAUAUAGAGUUGAUAGAAAGAGCACCUCGGGUACCUGUCAACUACUUGGAAAUAGGACAAUAUCUUGGUUAUUGUUAUCUUUAAUUGACGUGAUUAUUGCAGCGUUUCCUUUUCGAAAAUGGAGUUAUUUUUUAAAUGAAAAUUAUCUAAUUUUUCGAAAAAGGGCAGUUAUUUCUUUAAAAUGCAUCUUUUUACUUUCUUUUAUGACGUUCCGUAUGCCUCUCUUCGACUAUUAUAUAUACUGUCAAUUUCUCUUCGUUUCUUUCACAAAAACCCUAAGAGAGUAUCGAUCUUCCAUUUAAUCUUCUUCUCUUGUUUAAUCUUCGAAAAGUUGUCAUGUUUCUUGGGAAAACAAGCUUGGAAUCUCUCAAAGACUGUCAAAAAUGUCUUCCCAAAGAAAGUCUUCGGGGAUCGGGAACAGGGGACCACAACAAAUGCAUAAGGGGCCUACGCACUUCGAUCUCACCAAAGAAGAAGAGUUUCCUAGUUAGCAGUAGAGCCCACAGCAUUCUCAACAGCAUCCAUCUUCUCCAUCUAGACAACAGGAGGUUGCUCGUCAAGAAAAUGAAGAAAUAUUUGAAGAUGCAGAAUCUGUAAGAGUCUAUAAGCCCUCUUUUACCUACAAGCUUUAUCGUGCUUUUAAAAGGGGAGGAACUUCUUUGAACUACAUUGAUGAAUUUCUGAAAGACAAAUGGUACAAAAAUGAAACAUUCUUUUUACGCACAAUGGAGCGUUUGGGAAUUGCCCCUGCUGGGUCAGCGGAAGAGGCAUUCGCAAAUAUCCCAAUCGAUCCUCAUGUUGGAGGGCUGAAUCAAAUAGAUGGGAAUGAUGAUGACAAGUUGUACAGUUAGUUUCAACCAAGAAUGGGUGUUGCGGCAAAAAUUUGGGGAAAAAUGACAGAUUUGUUUCGAUCGGAGGAACAAAAGCAUUUAUACUCUAAGUUGUUGAAGCGUGGGGUAAUAAACCCUAGAAGUGUAGACUUUGAUUUCCUUGAUGCUGUGAAUGUUAAAUUGAGGGGAAAAUUCAGUCUUCUUCAACUUGAACAGUUCUGUUCUGACUCUACAGAAGCCUAUGCUGAACUCACUGCUUAUUUCUAUUCGAAUCUUAGUUUCCUAGAUGCGAAUAGAUUCUCUUUUAGUGUCUGAGAUCAGGACUAUGUGGUGGAUGUAGAUAUGUUGGCUGAUGUGAUUGAGGUUGAGAGAGGGAGAUAUCAACCUAUCAAUAACUCUAUUGCUCGUACUAUGUUGGAACUUGUUAAGGAUAGAAGGACUGAGGGAAAGGUUUCCUACGGAAGGAUGUGUGCAUUCAACAUUCUGCUUCACAAGAUUGUGAUUAAUUGCCUCAGACUAAAAUCUACUUCAAAGAUUGAUGUUUCAAACUCAGAGGCAAAGCUGAUGUAUGCCAUUAAUGCAGGGAAAAAGUUCUCUCUUCCACAUACUAUUAUGUUCCACAUGUACAGGGCAGUGAUGAAGGACAAGGGUCAACUUCCUUAUCCAGCUCUUGUGACAAAGUUAUUUAGACAUUUGAAUGUUCAGCCUCCACGAAUUCUCUGUGUUCGAUCGUGUGAUCAAAUGGUGGUGGGACUGAAAAUGGUCUCUAAAAUGCAUCUGAAGGAACUCAACAAGGCGUUGGAGAAAUUCAAGGAGAAAACGCAUGUUAAGUCUCAUCAAGUCUCUUCGGCUGCAAAGAGAAAAUGAAAGGAGCUCAUGGUUGCUUCAUCCAAGAAAAGAAGAGCUCUCAUCGUUGAGGAUGAAGAUGAUGAGGAAGAUAUCGCCAUUUCUGCUAUGGCAUUGAAUAACUUGAGUCGUUCUGUUCCAGAAUCAAUGGAGAGACAAGAAAAAGACACAGAUGAGACAGAACAGAGGACUGGAGAAAGAGAAAAUUUGGAAGCAGAGGAGAAAGAAGCAGAGGAAAGACAAACAGAGGAGAGAGAAGUAGAAGAAGGAGAUGAAGAGGAGGAAAGAAUUGAAGAAGAAGAAGAAGAGAGAGGAGAUCAAUCGGAAACAGAGCAUGAGGAACACUCUUCUCCACCUGAAAGCAUGGAAACAAGGGGAGAUCAUGAGAAAAGAGGAAUGUUCUCAUAUCCUGCUACCAGUGAGGGAGUCAGUCGCUCUUCAGCAGAUCCAUAAGAUAUCUAUGCCUCUCAAUUUCCUGAAGAGGGACAUGAUGUUUCAUCGCCCAAUCUGCGUGACCAUGCUGAUUUACCAUCGUCUGCCUUUACUCCAUCUAAUCGUGCAGAAGCCAGUACACAGACUGAAAAUUCAGUAGACUUUCGCAGAAUUCUUGAUGUUCUCUUGGAAAUGCAGGGUCAGAUAUAUGCUCUGGGAUGCGAAGUUUAGAAUUUGCAGAAUGCGGGUCAAGCUUCUUCAGUUUCUUUGAAUGAUAAGAUCCAAGCCAUUUCUCUUCAGAUUCAGGCAAAUGCUAAGGGUGAAGAUAUGGCACAACUGAAGGAAGACUUGAAAAAGCUGGAAGGCAUUGUUUAGUCAAUAGGAGAUUUCCAGCUUGUUCGUGUUCCCAAGCAUUCUUGAAUUCAUUCUCUUUCCAUCUCAACCUUUUUAUGAUGUCAAAAUGGGGGAGAGAUGCAAGAUUUGAAACUUUGAACUUAAAUUUUGUUGAACUUUGGUUUGUUUUGAUUAUGACUUGAAUGUCUGGAUGUCUAGAUGUGGACUGAAUUUGGGAUUUGAAUUUGACUGCUUAUUGACUACUUAUAUUAAGUACUAUUGAUAACUUAUGAAUGGCUUCACUCACAUGAAAGACUAACCUAUUUUCUGUGGUUGCAGAUUCUAGUGUUAUCAUUAAGCCAUUUAUCUUUAUAAGAUAUCCAUAUUUGCUUGAGUAAUAUUUUGCAAGUCAAAGUUAUUCAAAUUUGCAGGAAAGUUUUGUCACCAUCAAAAAUGGGGAGAUUGUUGGAGAAAUCUUCCUGGAGUAUUUUGAAGUUGACAAAACGUUUCCAUCAGUUUAGUCUGAAGAUUUGCAGACUCUUCUAUUCAAAGUCUGAAGACCUCCGGACUGCCAGACUCAAGACUCAAAGUUUAUUCUUAUUGACAGUUUCUAAUCCGUCGAAGAAGGGUCAUCCAGAAUUGGGUGUUUCAUUAAGGAUUUGACCUUAUCGACUGGAGAAGAUCUCUUAACUGGAUAUGUCAUAACGAAAUCCUUUAUUUGAUCAUGAUUGAUUCAGAGAUUAAGGAUCCGAUGAUUGGCGAUGUAUACUCGGAAGGUUCUACUUAUGGAAACCAAGAUCCUGAUUGUAUGGGCGAGCAAGAUUGAUGGGCUAUCGACAUGUUCCUUUAAUAGCUCGAAUGAUCUUCCUAAUUGAUUCCGUCCAACGGGUAGAUUGGAGGAAUUCAUUUGGUAAGUGCCAACGGGUAUGGUGGCAUAAAGGAGUAUAAAAGGAAGAUGUUCCAGUUGUUCGAGUGUGUGCGCGAUAGAAGAAUUCCAAAGUCUGAAGCUCUUUGUUCUUAGUCAAUUCAUUUGUUGAGUGAAAUCUUGUACGCAAAAGAGAGUUUAUAUUCUGAGAAACCUUGAGGAAGUGUGGUAGACUAUCUACACCAUGGAAUCAAGGGAAAGACUUGCUGUAACAUCUCUUUUGUUCAUAGUGGAAUCCAGCCGGUGGGCUGUCAGUGCAGAAGAGUGGACGUAGGCUUGGAAUAAGCCGAACCACUAUAAACCUUGUGUUCAAUUUUCUCUUCCCUACUCUCUGCUUUACUUUGAUCAUAAUUCGUCUUAUUAACCAAAGAAUAACUUCCUUUCUAUUGUCUGCUUAGUAUUGUUCUUAUAUCACGAAGAAUUAUUUUUACACCUAUUCACCCCCUUCUAGGUGCUUAUACUAGCUAUCUCACACUUAUCUCAUGGAAGGGACCUAAGUCUGGUCUCCUAGCUUUUACAGACCACCUUCUCGAGGACAAUGAAGAAGUAGGUUGACCAAGCUCAUUGGACGAUGGCGCACGAUGGGAAAAGUCCACUUACCGGCCUAGACAUCCACGGAACAUCACAGCACAGGCCAAGCCAAAGAUGCUUUUAUCACAUUAAAAUUCUCGUGAUGUCUACAUUCUCCCAUAUCAUUGGACAAUUAUGCCCUCUCAUAUGUUUGAUCACCAUUUGAAUGAAAAUGGGGCUCACAAAGCACACCUUGCAAUCUUGCAAAAGUAUCAAGUGUUUUUUACUUCUUACAUGGAAUUAAUGAAUCUACACAGUUUUAUUAGCUUAACAGAUCGCUUAACUCCCUGCGUUAUUAGAGUAGCAUCACCAUGCAAGGUUCAAUGCUUGUUAAGCUAUUAGAUGGAGAAGUAAGGAUCUUUUAUUUCCCCAUUUUGGGACAAGGUAGUAUACAAGACUAAUAAGGUACCGGCCUUUGAAUACAUAGGAUAACCUCAUACUAACAUGCGCUCUAUGUUACAGCUAAUUGUAAAGGUGUGCAAUCAGACCGAUAUACCCGAGAACUAGACCGACCCACCCGGAAAAUAAGGUUGGGAACUGGUUCCCAUUGAAACCGGUCUGAGAACUGGUUCCCAAAAUUCAGAACCGAUUUGAACCGGAUCGACCAAACCGAUUCGUGAACCGGUUUGAGAACCGGUUUGUAAGCCCAACCCAAAAGUCUGAAACCCUAAUUUGUUCCCCUAUUUCUUUCUUUACCUCUCGCACUCAUAGACUUCAGCGUUUUCCUUCAUUGUUCAUCUACUUCCCAAACCAAACCGACCCUCCAGCUCUAAAGUUCUCCAUGCUCCACAAGUUCCGUCGAAAAUUUCGCAACUUCUUGGGAAAGUUCUUGUUAGGGACAAAGACACGAAAAAGACCUCUUCUUCAAGCUCGCCUUGGAUUGGGGAGGACUAGGUAGGGUCUAAAAUCAAUGUUUUCCUUCAUCAUUCACGUGUCUUCCUCACUUGCUUCCAUCCAUCAUCGGCUGGCUCAUAGUUGCUCUGUCACCAGCUCCCUGUUGCUCUAUUUCAUCCAUCACUAGCUUCCCCAUUUGUAAGCUCGCAAAUUUCCUCAUUUUUCUAGAAUUUUCUUUCAGAUUGAAGCUGGGUUCUUCUCGAUUUUUCUCAAUGUUUUGCCCAUGUCGGCCUGUAAGUAUACAUAAUUAAACAUCGGUUCUCAGGUUGACUUUGUAAGUAUACAUAAUUAAGCAUCAAUUCUCAAGUUGAUUUUGUCCCAUUCAUCAGCACUCUUUGUCUCCAAAGUUAUGUUGAGAGAUUUGAUAUACAUGAAAUAAGCAUCUGCCUGUCGGUUUGGAUUUUGAGAUUUAUAUUUACGAAAAUAGCUUGGCCGCUAGAGCACCUUGUAAGUGCCUUCGAGAUCUACCUCUGCAAUAGAGAGGUUCUGGUUACAUAAGCUUUCUUUGAAAAAGAAAAAAGGAGGUUCUUUCAUCAUGUUUAUGCUUUCAGAAAAUAUAUUUACCCACGUUAGUUCAUGACUUGUGUGAUGGCCAAUACUUGUUUUUUUUUAUUCUGCUACUCGAGAUUUUUUUCUUUGAUACGACAUUGCUAGCCUAAGUUUCUUCGCAUGUGCCUCUAUUCUCUGUACCCUGCUUGUUUUAUAUAUCAAUUAUGUACUUGCAUACCUAUAUAUAACGGUGAAAUUCUUCUUGUUAACUGCCCUUAUCUUUGUUUACAGGUAUGUUGCAACCGAGCUGGCAACUGAUACUGUGACCAGCAUUAGGGAUAUCAAAUUUUAUUUGCACAAGGUAAGAGAGUCAAAUCAUGAUUAUUUAGAUGUACAAUUUGCUAUAUAUUGACUUGCCAUGUGGUAAUAGAAUAAAAAUGGGGUCCUUGAGAAGUUUUAUUAUAAACUGCAAAUGGAAAGUAAACUAUAGUCCCCAAUUUUAAUUAUCAAUCGGAAAUCAGGAAUCAAAUAAAGCUUGUAAAUCAUCUGGACGGACCUUUACAAACCACACAACUUGGAGUUCCUUUCAUCGUAACUAUGAAAUCUAAUUUGUUUUUGUAGAAUUCUAAUGUUAUAUAAUUUGUUUUUAGUCAAUGGAUCAAGACAAAAACAUAUCAAUGGAAGUGGAGGGACAUAAUAAAAUGAGUCCGCUCAUGGAAUUGCCAUUCCAUGGAGCUGUUGAAGUGGAAUCUGUGACCAUGGGUGUGACAAACAAUGUGAGGGUACCUAACUCUUAUCCUCCUUCAGGUAAAAAGCAAGCUAAUCAAUAAGAGACUUAGGAUAUUUUUUCGAGAAUCAUAGAUGAGAAAACACAUAAAACAGUUAGGGUGAAGUGCAUUCAUUGCAGGAUUGAUUAUGCGUAUAAUGUUGAUCGUGGAACCUCUACUAUGUGGGAGCACUUGAGAAAGUGCAAAAAGUAUCCUCAUGCAAAUAAAAAGCAAAUGUUGUUUGCAUCAUGUGACAAAGAUGUGGCUGGCGAGGUAGGGGAAAAUACUACUAGUGGUGGUAGUGUCUUAACGACAUGGAAGUUUGAUCAAGAAUAUUGUAGACAUAUGCUUGCUCGAAUGAUUAUUAUUGAUGAACAACCAUUUUUCAUGGUUGAGCGUGUUGGUUUUCGCGAUUUUGUUACUAAAUUGCAACCUCUUUUCCAACAUCUUUCAUGAUUUAAGGUGGCAAGAGAUUGUAGGAAGUUAUAUCUAAGUGAAAAGACUUGUUUAAAAGCUUACUUUGGUAAGUUUAAAUCUAUGAUUGCAUUCACAACAGAUAUGUAGAAUUUCAUUCAAAACUUGAAUUAUUUGUCUCACUGCACAUCAUAUUGAUGAAAAUUGGCAGUUGCAUAAAAGAAUAAUCAAUUUUGUGGUGAUGCAUAGUUAUAAGGGUGAGGAGAUUGGGAAAAUGGUGGAGAAAUGUAAUUAUGACUGGGGAAUAGAAAAAAAAUGUGUCCACAAUAACCGUAGAUAAUGUUAGUUCAAAUGAUGUGACCGUUGGUUAUUUGAAAGAAAAUUUUUCAAAAGAAUAAUUUUUUAUUUUGAAUUGCAAUACUUUACAUAUAAGAUGCAUUGCUCGUAUACUUAACUUGAUAGUAAGAGACGAAUUGAAUGAGGUGCAUUAUUCAAUUGCACGCAUCCGAAAUGUAGUUAGGUAUGUGAGGAGUUCUCCGACAAGAGCUAGGACAUUCAAAUCUUGCAUUGAGUGAGAUGAUUGCAUACAAGGGUUUGGUCUAUCUUGAUGUUGCCACUAGAUGGAACUCCACUUACAUGAUGUUAGAUACUGCCAUAAAGUUCAAGAAAGCUUUUCAAAGAAUGGAGUAAUAUGAUUUAUUAAGGGAAAUUGACAAUGAUUCUCCUCAAGAUGAAGAUUAGGAAAAUGUCAUCAUUCUUUCUAAAUUUCUGAGACGGUUUUAUGAUGCAACCAAAAAGAUGGUGGGUAGUUCAUAUGUUACUUCAAAUGAUUAUUUUGAGGUAAUAAUUAUGUUGUAUAAGUAUUUGAAUAAUGCGGCGAAUUCUUUAGACCCAAAGCUUAAAGUAAAUAAAUUGAAUUAUAUAAAGUAUUAUUUUGAACAAAUUUAUGAUGAUAAAGUGAAAAUUGAUGAGAUGCAUGAUAAAGUGAAGGUUGCCUUGGAAAAUUUGUAUAAAUCUUAUGAGCAAUCUUUUUUUUUUCUCUCUAGUAAAGAAAAAUUUGGUGGUUCAAGUGUGAGUAACAGUAAUAGUGCUUCCAACACCAAUAUUAAUGACAAUGAGUGUGAAAUCCAUGCUUUGCACAAAAGUUGUCUCUACGCGAAGAAAAAAGUGUUGGAUGAAAACAAAUCUGAAGUUGAUUGGUAUUUUGAAGCUGAAAGUGAAGAUAUCAUUAAUCUCAAUCUUUUGAUGUGGUGGAAGAGUACUGGGUCAGAGUAUAAAAUCUUAUCUUUGAUGGCUCGAGAUGGUUUGUCUAUUCGCGUGACUAUCAUUGCUUCAGAGUCGGCUUUUAGUAUAUCGAGACGUGUAUUUGAUGACUUUCCUCCUAGAAUGGUGGAAGGUUUGAUUUGUAUUCAAAAUUAGUUGAGAGCUGUUCAGGUACCGAUUAAUAUUAAAGAGUGCAUUAAGAAUGUGGAAAAUUUUGAGGCCGGUAAGUCAUAUAUAUUUCUUUCUAUCUUGUAAUUCAUUCGCAUAACAAUCUAUUAAGGACGUGCGGACCCCACAAGUGCCACAACUUUGGCCAAAUGGACACUUAAGUGCCAUAACUUACGAAAGGUACACUUAAGUGCCAAAAUCGGAGUAAAAUGGAUCACUUGAGUGCCAAUCCGGCCAAAAUACCGACGUUGCAUUUUUCCGGCGAAGCGCACCCAAAACGACGCCGUUUUGCACGCUGACGUGGCCAAAACGGCGUUGUUUUGGGCUGACGUGGAAAAAAAUAAAUAAUUAAAUAAUUAAAUUAAAUUUAGUUAAAAUAUUUAAAAAAAUAAUUAAAAAUUUUAAAAAAUUAAAAAAAAUUAAAAACUUUAAAAAAAUUAAAAAAAAAUUUAAAAAAAAAGGCAAUGGGGGGGAGGCGGCUGAGGGCUGGUCCCUCAGCCACCACCACCGCCAUUGCCCCGCCGCCGCCGCCGCUGGCCGGCGAUGGUGGGGGGAGGGUCGACCGAGGUCGCCAGGCCUUGGCCAAGGGUUGGCGACCCCGGCCGAUCGGCGACGAGGGCUCGUGAGCCCUCGCCACUGGAUCUAGGGGGGCUCACGGCCCUCGCCCCAGAUCAGGGGAGGGCUCGCGAGCCCUCACCGCCGGUCAGCCGGGGUCGCCAGCCCCUGGCCAGGGCCCGGCAACCCCGGCCAACCCUACCCCCGCCGUCGCCAGCCCUUCCCGGCGACGGCGGGGCGGCGGCAGCGAUGGCGGCUGAGGGCUCUCAGCCGCCUCCCCCCGUUCCCUUUUUUUUUUUUUUAAUUUUUUUAAAAUUUUUUAAAGUUUUUAAAAAUAUUUAACUAAAUUUAAUUUUAAAAUUAUUAUUUUUUAAUAUUUUAACUAUAUUUAAUUAUUUAAUUAUUUAUUCUUUUACCACGUCAGCCCAAAACGACGCCGUUUUUGCAUUAUUUCGCGACGUCAACAUGCAAAACGGCGUCAUUUUGGGCGUGCUUCGCCGGAAAAAUGCCACGUCGGCGUUUUGGCCGGACUUUGGCCGGAGUGGCACUCAAGUGAUCCGUUUUUCUUCGAAUGUGGCACUUAAGUGUACCUUUCGUAAGUUAUGACACUUAAGUGUCAUUUUGGCCAAAGUUAUGGCACUUGAAGCGUUCUUUUGCCAUAUAUUAAGUGGAUGCCUUAUUUAAUCUCUUUUUUUUUUUUUUUUUGAAGAUUUGGAUUGUCUUACUGAGGAUAUUAUCGUUGGAAAAUAAACUUCAUUUUGUGGAAACUCCGAUUUUGUGGUAAGUAAAUAGACUUGAUUAAACCAUAACUUUUGCAUAUGUCUUUAGAGCAUGGUUUCUUGUUGAUUUUUCUUUAUAUAUGAAUUUUAGGUUUUUGUCAAAGAUUUUGUACCAUGUGGAUUGGCUCGUCUGAUUUCACUUUUGGAGGAGGAGUUAUGUUGAUUUCACUUUUGGAGGAGUUAUGCUUGCGCCAAAGAUUUGUUAAUGAUUUUAGACAAAUGAAAAGCUUCUAUAUGUAGCAUUGUUGCUCAUGAUGAAGAAAGGGAAGUGGUUCAAAGGAUCCUACGAGAACGCGAGGCCGAACAAGGAGAAGAAGAUCGAGCACAUCAGGGACAAGGUUGAGGUCCCCAAGUCCACUCCUUGGCCUCUUCCCUUCAAGUUCAUUGGAAAUUCAUCUUGCUCCCUCGUGCUCUCUUUGUCUCCAGUUUUGUUCGUUCAUGUAGUUGUAGUUGUACUUCCGAUCUACCGAUUGGCAAUGGAAUAUGGAAGCUAUUUGUGUAUAUUGUCGGCAGAUUUUCGAUUGAGAUUCACUUUGUAUUUCGGUUUUGAGAUUAGAGAAGUUCCAUUUUCUUUGAAAUCGAUUGUUCUACUGGUUUGAAAGCGUGCAUGGUGAUACUUGGGAACUUUUGGAUAAGAAUGAGAGUCAUUAGCAUCUCCAUUGACAGUGUUUUUAAUCGCUAGUCCUCGUGGUUUGCUAAAAGUGAGUGAUUUGAUUGUUGAUGAUUGGAAAAAUUGGAGAAUAAGUUUAUCUUUGGUGCAAAGCGAGGAUAAGGGACACAAGUUAGCUCGUUGCUAUGCAAAUAUGGUGUAACGCAAUUAGAGGAUAUUGGUUAAGUAUGUAGUUUUGAUUAGCUUGGGUCUGAGUUGUUAAGAAAUCGAGGAACCCGACAUGCCAAGAAAGGAGAGAACUUGUUUUCAAGAAAUUGAUAUGUGAGGUUUCUGUACAACAAUUUUUAUAUAAAAUGACAAUUUGUGUAUAGCUAAUCCAUCAAUGACCACCAGGCUCAUUAGGGGGAUGGAGAUCAUAGCCAUCCUAAAAUUUUCAUCAUUAACACAGUAGAUUAUGCUGUUGACAAAACUCAGGUCUCACUACAAGCACAUUGAUCGUCAUUAGUGCUUCUACUGGUGAGAGUUGAUUGCAACGCAAUUAGAUUGUAGAAAGGAGAUAUUUGGCAUUGUUGUUGUCAUCAUCAUGGAUGGCUCUACAAAAUCUGUAUUGUGACUUGCCUAACAAAUCCAAGGUUAGCUCCACAAGGUCUAGUGCAGUAAUAAAAUAAACCAGACCGAAGAAAACAGCUCAAUUGAAAUUGUUAGAGCAUUAAGAAUUAUGUUAUUUGCUCGUGUAUUAAUAUAAAAUUUGAAGUUGUAUAGGAUGGAUGGUUGCAAAACAUGUUCCAAUAUAAACAGGGUCAACCCUGGAACCGGACCAAAAAAAUAGGGUGAGUCGGGCAUAGGGUCCAAUGCAAAUAGUAUCGAGUACAGAGUCCAAAAAAUGGGAACCGGUUAUAAUAGGGUUGGGUAUAUGGUCCAGAUCUGGAACCUACCUACCCUAGACCCAAUCACCCCUGGCUAAUAGAGAAUGAAAAGAUUUAUAUUUGAGGCAAGCUAGGAAAAAAAUAAUGACUAACCUCAUAAGUUGCUCCGAGGAGAAGCUCAAGUUGUAGACUUCUUACAACAUCAGUUUCCUACUCACAAUUCAACUCUCUCCCCACUCCCUUGUGGAUGCAAUGAUGAAGCUGCAAGAUUGUUGUGAUUCUUGAAGACUGGACAAGCCAUAUCUGACACAAUGCAAUUCCACAAAAACAAUAAGAAAAAAUUCAGGAUUAUUAUGGGGUAAUUGGAAAGUCUACCGUCAAAACUUCGCAAGUGCUCAUGGUUUCUACACACUAUCCAUCACUUAGGACCUUUAGAGACUUAAUUCGUCUAGAUGAUAUUAUGAUGAUAUAACAACUAAUGACAACCAACAAAAGAUCUAUAGUACUUUUUUGCCAAAACAACCAAAGAUAUUAGCCAGUCAAAUUUGUUUAAUCUUAGAAAUUUGCACCAAUUUCAAUGGAAGAGCUAGCAUAUUGUAACGACCCCGACUCCAUCCUCAGGAUCUCGAGCUACAAGGAUUAUUUUCAUGACGUCAUAGGCGCGUCGCCGUCCCGUUUCUUUUUAUCUUUUCAUUGAGCAAAUGCGAAAACGUUACAAAAAGCACUCAAACAAUAACAAGCAGCCAGGAAAAUAAACAUUUACAAACAUACAAUUAUUUCAGUUACGUUUACAAACCCUUCUAUCAUGAGACGUUAUAUUUAUAACAACUACAUCUUCUAUGCUCAAAAGACCGAGGUAAACCUCAGCUCCUCUAGCGAGACUCUACAAUUCUAAAAAAAUAAUGGGGUGAGUCAUGGACUCAGUAAAUAAAACCCCUAAUUCUCUAUUAGGAGAACAUCUCAUCAUCAAAAUUUAAUAGGUACGACACUCACAAUGCAAUGUCAAUAGCAAACUUAUUGCUAUACCUCGAUUACAUGCAGAUGUUCAUUAUAGCAUACUUUAGUGCAUGCUUAACUUCAGCUUGUCAAUGAACAUAUCAACGUAUAUACUGGCACAUAUACAAUGAUUCUUUUACUGUCGUCUUGGCUCAACCAGGCCCUCUCGGCAUGACCAAGCCUUCCAGUUUCAUAUGGGCUUCUUGGCUUAACCAAGGCAUCCUGGCUCAACUAAGGCAACCUAGGCUAGCUUACCAAGGCAUCCUAGCUCAAUUAAAGCAUCUCGGGGCUAGCUUACCCAAGAUAUCUAGACUUAAACUCAGGCAUCAUAGCUAAACUAGGGCAUCCCGUUCAAUGAACGAAACAUCGCCACCAACGCUAUGUGGCAACGAGCACUUUUUCCUCUUUAAGUGCAUCAUAAAAGUGCAUCACGCAAGCCAAUUCUUACUUUUCUUUUUAGUCGACUCAUACAUGGCUCGAAGGCGUGCUCAUUCAAGUGAGUGUACCAUUACUCUUAACAUCAUGCUAUAUUGGGCACAAUUAUUAGUUCGUGGCUUGAGCCGCAUGCCCCGCACCAAGCAAGACUUAGAAUCGACAUGCUUCUAUAUCGAUCUAAGGCCUCACCGCUUAGGCUAUCGUGACUUGACGGCAAUUCCAAGUCAAGUGAACCUCGACCUUAUUCUAGGAUGUGAACCCACUCAAGCAUGCAAACAUGAACAAACCAUACAAAAGAACAUUAUAAAAUACACGCGGCUAACACGGGUGAGCACACCACUAAACCAAUGAUGUAAGCUAUCGCCUUAGCGAAGAAUUAGAUAUUCUACUUACCUGAUGAGGUGGUGGGGGUUCAAUCAAGAGAAAGAAGCUUGAGGGCGGCAGCAAGGGAGUGUGGCUAAGAGAGGGAUAUAGAGAGGGAUAGGGGGCAAUAGAUAGUGGUUGGUGGAAAUGAAGAUGAAUGUCCUAUUUAUAGACCUCUCAUCACUUAAUAACCCUAAAAAGUGGCCCAAUCAUCUUUCCUCAUAUGUCCUAGCUAAUAUGAGAGAUGUGGCACCCCAUUAUUCUAGUGAAAUGAUUAAGAACAAAGGGCAUUCUUCUCAUUGGUCCAUUUGUAUUGAUGAGUCAUCUAACAUUUAUGAAUUGACUAACUUGUCUUCCAAAGCUCAUAUUAGGGUCAUGAUGACCUAAGUUUAUAGGGACACUUAAGAUGUUGAGUUACCCUCUUUCAUUAAUGACUAGCUUCCAAAGUCAUUAAUGGCUUAGACUUGUCAUCAAUGAACUUGAACUUUGGAUAACUUAUUAUCCAAGUUAACUACAUAAGAAUGUGACUUAUUCCCCCUUCUUAAUGUGUUAAAAUUCCAAAGAACAUCAACAAGAAGCAAGUCCAUUUCUUGCCACUUGGUAUGGUGAGUCAUUUAGCUUAUUAAUUAGCUAGAUUCCAAAAGUAUUUAAUGCAUUCUUAUCUUCAAACCAAGAAGACUAUAGAUUGGCUUGCUUCUUAAGUUGGGCGUGCAGCCUCCUUCCCCUCUAAUUUGGGUGUGCAGUUCUCCCAUUCUAAGGCAAAAAUAAUUUUGAAAAACUUUCGAAAUUAGUGCCAUUAUCUUAUCAAACAGGCUUAAAAAAUUAUAAAAUUUUAAUAUGUUAUAGAGAAGAACAUGAGGAAUCCAAGCCAAAUUCAUUAUGUGAAAAGAGCAGCAAAUCAUUAAACACAAUCCAAAAAUUCGUCCAUCGAGCAGAUUCAAUGGUCAGAGAAAGAGACUUAUUUCGAAAUCAAAGUCUUCACAAAACUUGUUGAAAUUUUAAUAUAUUGUAGAUAUGAAUGUUAUUUAAAAUUCUUGUAAAGGAAGCAUGUCCAAAUUCAAAAGAAAGAUUUUAUAAAACUUCAAGAAAGCAACGUGGUUACCUUUUUCAUUAUAUUAAGCAGGUUCUAUAUCAUAAUUGAUUAGGCCUUUGUCCCAAUCAUUUCACCUCAGAAAAAUUUGAAAUUUAAUUAUAUGUUAUAGCUCAAGAGUUUUGAACAACUUUCAUAAAUGAAGUUUCUCCAAAUUCGAAGCACAAAGAACUCUAUAAUAAGAAAGUGGGAAAGGUCCAGCAGUUUCAAAAAAUUGGGAAAUCAACACUUAUGAAACUCAAGGUGGCAAGUCUAUGGAGAGAGGUCGCGCCCUAUUAAGCUUGUAAGAUCACUUGCCAUCAUUCUUUUAGGCCAUGGGACACCCUCUUUCUUUCAUUACUUGAGACACAUAAACCUCUACACUCAUUAUCUUUAUUUAAUGCGUUUCCCACUUGUUCACACUUGUUUUCUAAGAAAAUAUGACUAGUCCAAGUUUCAUACUUGUCUUCCAAGGCUAAGGCUGCCAUGUGUCCAUCUCAGUCGAUGCUCUUUAAUUAACUAUAAGACAAGGGCGUUAAAUGCAACUUGGAAUAUCUUAGUUUUGAAGGCCUUGUCAUCAUGCAGGGACUAAUCAAGUUUGACCACAAUCGACUAUCUUAUUUGACCUGAAGUCCGUGCCUAAGACAUGAUCGGAAAAAGUGGACACAACCUGGCUUAACCGGUGAAACCAAGUAAGGGUGUGCAACGGAAACCGCUCGAACCGGAAUCGGACCGAAUGGGCUGGUUUUGGGCGGUUCCCACGAUCGGCGGUCCGGUUCCCGGUUCCUAAUCUUGGAACCGGCGGCCGGUUGGUCCGGUUCCCGAUUCCAAGGUGGGAACCGGACCGGACCAAUUUUUUUUUUAUAUAAUUUAUAUUCAUAUAAUAUAUAAACACGUAUAAUAUAUUAAUAUUAUAUAUGAAACUUAUUGCAAUCGGAAUUGCAAUUUAAGUAACAACCUCUUAUGUGGCCAAGAGACCACCAAAACUCUUGUUGAUACUCUUUAUUUAUAGAAAAAACUCUCCUCAUGCUCACACUCUCUCUUGCUCCCCUCACUUGCAAACGACAAGGCACUUCAAGCCUUAAAAAGUCUCAUAUCGACUAAACAUUCAAAGUAUAGAAGAGAGAUUGUCUAUAAAACCUAAGCCAAGCAAAACCUUUAAUCACGUUGUUCAUGGGUUUUAUGCUUAAAAUUAAGCAUGAAACACAUAAACUAUGAUUGAUAUUGACACAAGUGAAGUUUGAAUAUUUUGCACGUGGAAACAUGUGUGAGUAGUUUUAUUAGAUUGCUCGGAAACCGAAUUUGAUUGAUCGGUCCGGAGCAUGAUUAUUCUUUAGUGAAUGGACAUUCUCUAGUGAAAAAAUAAAGUGUCAAUUCUUUUGGAUUGGACCGGACCGGACCGGAACUGAUGGUCCGGUCUGGUUCUCGGUCCUAAGACCAACAGUUCGGUCCACGGUUCCCAAAAUUGGGAACCGAUUCACCCGGUCUGGUUCCCGGUCUGGUUCCCGGUUCGGUCCCGGUUCCACCUUGGAACCGGACCGAACCGGGAACUGAUCACCCCUAAAACCAAGUUCGGACUUCUCUUUUAUCAUGUAAAAGAGAUCUCUAAUGGUCCAAGGCCCAGGCCUUGGGCCAAUCAACUGAUCCUAGGGCUGGUUCUACAGCCAGUCCAAGGUCCCGUGCCGCAAAUCACGGCCCAUAACCAACCCUCGAGUCGAUUCAUGGCAUAUUCUUGCUAUCGACGUAGUAAUCCUUAACCUAUUAUUAGAGAUCAAAAUAAGGGUCGAAAUUAAGAAUGUUAAACAUAUAUACUAUCUUUGUCAUCUCCAACUGCAAAUGGAUUGCAUUCCGGUCCUUAUAGAUUGAGCUUAAGUGCAUUUUGGAUCUCAUGCAUCUUUUAUCAAUUACAAGAAGUGGUGUGCAUAAAUGCUUAGUGCCUUUUUUGUCAAAGAAAUAAAAGGAAAAAGAAUGACAUCUUCACGGGAACCCCAAACUACAAUUACAACAAAACCAUUACUUUGGAAGGGAUUUAGAAAUUAAACCAUCACUUGUCAAAUUCAAGUGAUGUCUCUUUUAUAUACAUGAAAAGGUUUAGCCUUGGGACAGCAAUAACUAAAUUUCCUUUAUCUCCUUCCCCUUUAGCCGCUCACCCAACUCACCUACGCCAAUGUCAACAAAUCUACCAGGGUAGGUGUUACGUGCAUGCGCAUCAGUUAUGUGUACAAAGAAUCUCCAAAUUACAAUUGCCAAUAUAAAAUGCAUCGGACGGCAGACUAUCCAAGAAAGUAAUGCCAUUGAAAAUUUUGUACCUAUAGAUCUUUCUAAAGUUGGCAACAGGUGGAAAACUAGAAAGUGUACUUAUCCCAAAGAUCAAACAAGAGAUGCAUGCAUCAAAUUCAUGCUAAUAUAAGUAGAAAAAGAAAUUGUGUCUAAUCAAAUAUUUGAAAGAUAGCAUACUGAUAUCUGAAAUUCAAUAAAUGAUGGUGCACAUACUUUAACCAAAGAUCAGAUACAAAGAGCCCCCAUAUCAGGUGGCCCUCCAUCAGAUCCACUAUAAAGUGCAGAUGCGUUAGACCCUCUCUUGCCUUGCUUCUUUUUCCUUUCUAUCUUAUCUGGAUUCAAGAGCUUGAUCACUGCAAAACAACAUUUAGACAUAAAAAAGGAGAAAUCUUCAGUGCUGUCUUUGUUCUUGUAAGUAUAAAUUUAUAUUACUCAUGUAUGAACAUUUUUUCCAAAGGGAAUCCAUUAUUCGACAAAGUGCAGGAGUGAGAAAAUAUUCCAGACUUGAAGUUAAGUAUGAUACAAUGUUGGAUACAUAAGCCAUAAUUUCAAGAUACGUAUAAACUUCAAUCACACGGAAACAGGAAAUAUACAUCAACAAAGGACAAGCUUAAACUAUAACUUGACAUAUAAAGCACUGACAGAAUAAGAAAUACUUGGAAAUUGCAGAGACUUUCCCUGUCCCUGACUCGCAACAGGACUUGUAUUUCUUUUUUGAACCACAUGGACAAGCCUUGUUUCUUGGAAUUUUCUGCAUUUCAAGAUAAAUCAAGCAAAUAAAAAUGAAAGGGUGCAUCACCAAUAGUUCUCAUGUUUGAGCUUAAACCAAAAUGGUAAAGGAGGUAAUGUAAUCAUCUUUUGCGGAGACCUUGUCUUCUCGCUGGGCACUGCCAUCAUCAUGAGUCCGUUUAGCGCUAUUGCUAGGUGGAUUUUCUUUAUUGGUCUCUUCCACGGGUUCCUCUCUCUGUUCCUCAGAAUUUCCACUAGCAUCAUCACCUAAAUACCACAAAGAAUUAUGAAAUAGUUUUGGGUGUAGCAUGUUUGACUACCCAAAAAUCCAUGGUUGACCAGUUGCAUCAAAAUGACACCAAACAAGCUUCUCGUGAAGCUCAACACAGUAUCUCCGAAACUGCGAAGUUAAAUUAUUAAAGAAAAUCAGAGAGAUAAAGACUGACCAGCCAUUACCAUGAGAAACAUCUGCAUUGCAGGGAGACUGGACAGUUUCCUCUGAAAAAUCUUCAAUGCCUUUUUCUGCUAUCGAAUACUCCAUGGCGGCAUCAACAUCCCCAUAAAUUUGCAGCACUGUCUGUAAAAGUAUCACAUCGCAUAGAAGUCAGAAAAAGGUCCAAAACAUUGCAUUGUAAUUCUAGACACCCAGCAAAUGAGAGGAAAGCAUUUAAUGCAAACAAGCAAGCAGAAGAAAAGAGGACAUAACCUGCUCAGCUUUCUCAAUGUUCUCACAACCACUUCCAGCCAUGACUAGCUUGAUGGAUCCUGCAUCAGUAAUAUCCCUACCAGCUCCUGAUUUAGACUUGCUUGACCCAGCUUUUGCUUGGCAAGAUGACAACGAGAGAUUAGAAUCUGUCUUUCAGCAAAAGAAAUUAUCAAAUCACAUACUUAAAUUCACAAAUUUGUCCAACUUCCCUACUUAGUAAAUUAAAAUUAGAUUCCAGUAGAAACCUUGAUUGUAAUUGGCCUAGCUGGCCCAUCUCUGGUGUCUUCCUUCAACCUCACACUGUUGUAAUGUUCCUCGUCAUGAUAAGAUCUAAUAAAGAAAAGCAAAAUAUAUAAGUUCAAAUAAUGAAACGCCAUCAGUACAAAAAGACUAAGAUUUUCCCUAUCCACAAAACAAUAAUGGCCCAACGCACAUUUUUAAUGCUUACUGGCUUCGCAUGAUGACACUUAUCGAGGAUAGUAAAGUGUGGAAUAUCAUAUAUCCACUAAAUUUCAUGACCCUUGUGACAAUCCAAAGUCACAAUCGCUACCUAGACAGAUCCAAUCCAUCUCAAAUUAGAAUCUCCAAAGAUGCCAUUCAUUGAAGGAUUAUGCAUGGGAAUUUCAAUAAAAUAAUUUAUUGAAGAAACAAAAGCUAAAGUGACAUUUCGGUCUCCUACGACACAUGCUUAGCCAGUAAUUUAUCCCCCUGUAGGCUAGAACAAUGCAGGUAACUUUUAAGUCCAGCUUCCUCCUGCACCAAUCAGUUUAGGCCAAGAUACACCAUCCAAAUCACAGCAAACACUCAAAAGGUUUUCCUCUCUAGUAAAAUAAGGAUGUCAAAUUGCUCAGGUGAUCAUUGUGUUGGUAUAGCUCUAUGCAACUGUGACUGUGAGCUGAACAUCAUCAGGAAUAACCAUUGGCAGCAGAAAUGUAUGCUUCAAUGUAUAAUACCCAUUUUAACUUGGUUUUUUCUUCCAAAGGCAUGCUAUUUCAGUGUCUAUAUAAGUGUGAGAUCCAUCAAUACUUAACAGAAAAAGUUCAAGAACAAAAUAUACCAAAUAAAGUUCAAAUUAGGACCACUGAGCACUAAUACAAAUGAGGACGACAUCACCAUGUAAGAAAAAACCCCUGCAAACAUAAUUCCUACAGCUUGAAAAAGAGAAAUCUGCACUCCACAUACCAAUACGUACUGAACAACCAUACUCUGGCACUUCCCAUGUUCAUCUUCAUUGCCUUCCAACUGAUCUGCAAGGGCCCUAAUUAACAAGAGUAGACAACUAUGAGAAUUCCAACCAUGGCAAAGGCAUUUCUAUAAACAAAAGCUCCAUACAAGGCAGUAAGAUUACCUGGAGGAUGGAUCAUUCAAAUACUUGGAAUGAAAACAGGAAUGAGGAACAUGGUUUGUUUGUCCAGGACGCUGUACAAUGGUUAUGAAAUUUUACAAAGUAACUUAGUUGGAUUUCGGAAGUGACGAUCUAAUAUCCUCAAGACUAAGGUAGAAGAGCUACAUUCCCCGACAAAUAGGGCUCUUCUUCGAGAUAUAUUUCCAGAUGGCAGUGUCUCAAGCAGAAUGAUACAUCAUAUGAAAAUGCAACGGUUUUUCCAACAAAGGAAUUUCUAGCACAUUGAUGAUAGCAAUCCAGAACCAGUGUACCAUAAAAUGCGAUGCCACUAACCUUCUACAACAGAGUAAUACUGUUAUCAUACAAAACAAACCAAUUCCUGGAAACAUUCAAUAAAAAAUCAUGAACAAGUCGGUGAUGUUUUCUAACAAGGAACACAGACCUGAAAAAGGAAUUACCAUCUGCCGUCACCUGGACAAUUUUCAGGCCCAGAGCAUCAAGCUGAGCUCGGAACUGCGUGUUAUCCGCUUGCUUCCCCUGCUGUUUGACCUGUUCACCAACGCAUACCACAUUCACGCCCACUCAGAUUCUGAAAACAACCACCGACGAACACUCCAACCAAGAACUUAGGCAAAAACACCUCCACGAAAGCUCAAUUUCAGAGGCCUCGCCGCAACGAACAGAUUAUCGCAGCAAUUGAAACUUUCGAAUUUGUUCGGAGAUCAAAGGACAUGGCUUACGUGAGGCUGCUUCUUGGCGUUGGACUUGUGGUGCUGCUUCUGCACCAUCGCUGCGGAGAGAAAAUGAUCAAUGCCGCUGGAGGUGUUUCGAAGAGAAAUCUGAAACCGAGAGGAGAGAAUUCUUUCGGCACGUCGGUGGUCCGCCUUAAGAGCUCACUAUUCUUCGCGCUGAGCAGUCAUGUUUAUUUUCCUUGGCUUAUUCAAUAUAUAAGAUUUAUUUGUAUUUUCCGACUUAUGGAUCCGAUGAUUUAAUGGGUCAAAUGAUUGACCUGUGAAACAGAAGUCAAGUCAGUUAUUUGAUUAGUCAUAUGGCUCGUUUUUCAAGAAGAAAUCACGAUUUGAAAAAUAUUUUUUUGCUUAUGUUUUUUUUUUAUAAAAUAUAUGAACAAAUAAUACUUUCAUCAUUCACAAUGAAAUUUGGGUACAAAUUAUUAUUGAUAAUGAAAAUAUUUUUUGUCAGCUAAUUAUUUCGAGCAAUGUAACCGAUCUUUUUUUAGGAAAAUGUUUUCAAGACGUUUAUUUUUCUUAAAACAAACCAGCAAUUUAAAAAUACUACCAGCGAUUUAAAAAUACUAACUUUAUGUCUUUCUCAUGGAAAGUAUAUUCAAAAUGACAGUGACGUUUUGAUAGUGAUGUUUUGAUCAUCAAAGUUGCUAUGCAUUAAAAAGUCAACGUAAACAAUGAGGAGCGAUUACUCUCAUUUUCCUUUCUACUCAAGUUUUAAGCUAUUCUGUUUGAUUACUUCACUGAAUGUGUUAAUAAUAGGUAAAUGAAAAGGAUAAGUAAUUGCUAAUAGGAUUAUUCUAGGGGUGAUCGGUUCCCGAUUCGAUCCGGUUCCAAGGUGGAACCGGGAACCGGACCAGGAAAACUGGUUCCCAAUUUUGGGAACCGUGGACCGGACCAUCGAAUCCGGUCCGGUCCGGUUCGGUCCAAUAGGAUCGGCACUUUCUUUUUUCACUAAAUAACGACCAUUCAUUAAAGAACGACCAUGCUCUGGAUCGAUCAAUCCAAUUUGAUUCCCGGGCGAUCUAAUAAAACUACUCACACAUGUUUUCACGUGCAAAAUAUUUAAACUUCCUUGCAUGAACAUUAAUCAUAAUUUAUGUGUUUCACUCUUAAUUUUAAGCAUAAAAGCCAUGAACAAUUUGAGUAAAAUAUGUGCUUGGCUUAGGUUUUAUAGACAAUCUCUCUUCUAUGCUUUGAAUGUUUAGUCGAUGUCAGACUCUUUGAGACUUGAAGUGCCUUGUGGUUUGCAAGUGAGGGGAGCGAGAGAGAGAGAGAGUGAGCAUGAGGAACUCCUAGAGCCUUAUCCCACAUCGAGGAGAAGAUAAAACUAACAAAUAAAUUUUCUAAGAGCUUUGGUGAUCUCUUGGUUACAUAAGAGGUUGUUACCUCAAUUGCAAUUCCGAUUGCAACAAAUUUCAUAUAUAAUAUUCAUAUAUUAUAUGUGUUUAUAUAUUAUAUGUAUAUAAAUUAUAUAUAAAAAAAUUUGGUCCGGUCCGGUUGGUCCGGUUCCCACCUUGGAACCGGGAACCGGACCGCCGACCGUGGGAACUGCCCAAAACCGGUCGGUCCGGUCCGAUCCUAGUUCGGGCGGUUUCCGUUGCACACCCCUAGAUUAUUCUCGAAUUUUGACAAUGACACUAAUUUCCCCUGGAUUUUUGUUCAAUAUGCAAUAUGUCAAUGUCUUCCCAAAAUUUGUGAUUAGUGUAGUUAGGUUUUUUAACUUUCUCAAAUGUAUGAACUCAUCCAUGAACCAAAGUUCAAUCAGGUCUUUAAACUAUUUGUUUUUCAAUGUCAACGUGAUCCUUGUUUUCAAUUAAAAAAAAACUCCAAAUUAGUAAAGAACCACCACUAAUUCAAUACAAACAAUGUCAUAUUCUCCCUUAAAUUAUCAAUUAGAUCAGGUUAAAUUGAGAAUGAAGUAUCAAAUUCAAAACAUCCAUAAUUGCUGUUAGUGACUUUCCUCAUUCUUCUUGUCCGCGUACAAAUUUUAUGAGUUAACUAAAUUCUCUCUCUAGCUCUUCAGUAAAUAGCGUAGAGGCAAGCGUAUUGAUUUUUCCAGUUGAAUGGCACUAAUUUAGAUCAAAAGCCCAUUUUAGUAAAUCUAAUUAAAUUUUUAUUAAUUAAAUUAGAAUGCAUCUUAGAGAUGGGUUCAAAUAAAUUAAGCUUCUUGUGAUUUUUUUUUUUUUGGAAAAUAAAAAGAGAAAAAAUUACCAAAAGAGCGUUAGAGUGACCUUACGCAAUCAACUACUUGAACUCUGAUUCGCAAAAGUAAAGUAUUUCUCUUAAUACUUUACUUGGGUAUUUAAUCGACCAACCAUAAAUCGAUUAGUGGUGACUCUUAGAUAAAUAUCAUUUUCAUGCUAAAUAACUUGAACCUAAAUUACGAAUUGAUAUAAACUGGGGAGAGCUCGAGCUAAGUGUUUUUAGCUACUCUAUUUGAUUAAUUGAUCAUAUGUGUUAAAAAAAGGUAAAUGAAAAGGCUAUGCAAUUGCUAGUAGAAUUAUUCUUGGAUUUUGACAAUGACACUAAUAGUUCCAUGAAUUUUUGUUCAAUAUGCGUAAUGUCAACAUCUUCCCAAAAUUUUUAAUUGGUGCAAAUACAUUUUUUUCAACUCUGUUUAAUGUAUGAAGUCAUCCAUAAACUUUAAAUUAGUUCGAUCAGUCUUUAAAUUUUUUUCUUUUCGUCAAUGUGAUCCUUGUUUUGAAUAAAAGACUCCAAAUUAGUAAAGAGCCACUCAUUCAAUACAAACAAUGUCAUCUUCUCUCUUAAAUUUUUCAAUAGAGCAUGUAAGUUGAGAACGAAGGCCCAAAUUUAAAACAUCCAUAAUGUGAAUCAGAAAGUUUGUGACUUUCCUUAUUCUUCUUGUCCGCGUAUAAAUUUUGUGACUUAAAUAAAUUCUCUAUCAAAUGAAAUAAUGUGAAUUAGAAUGUUUGCUUAAAGUGAAAGUACAUUGAUUUUUCCGGUAUAAUGCCGAUGAUGUCCAACUGUAAAAGACCCCAAACUAGACAUGUGUGAUAAAUUUAUGUUAAAUUAAUUUUUUGAUCAUGAAAAACCCAAAAUUAAAACCAAAUCUCAAAAAACCUCAAAUAGCAGGAUUGAGCUACUGUUCAUCUUGGUGCUCUCAAGCUGCUCCCGCGUGCUCUGUUCACCGGAAGGGGCUGCUGUUGAUUCCGAUCAAUCCAGCCAUCCGGUGAGCCAAUUUUUUUGAAGACGAGCUCCAUCCAGAACUUUUCUUCCCCUUCACCGAGCGAUUUCGCCUGGUAUGUCUCCUCCUGUCAAGAAUCGCAUCACGCUCUUUUAGGGCUUCGAUUCUGCAGUUCCGCCCCUGCUUCAAAUGGCGUCUUCUUCGACUACGCCAGCUGGUUUAUUGGGCAAAGGCCCUCAAGAGAACCCUAAAGAUGGGUCUGUUCCUUCCCCCCCUCGCCCCUCCCAUGCUCGGUUCUCUUCGGUUGUUCGUGGUGUUCGUGGACGCUCGCGAAGUAGAGGACGUAGUCGAGCAAGGAAGUCUCGAGCUCUCCUGGGUAAUAUGCCCCCCCCUCCCCCCCUCUUCGAAUGUUGAUGGCUCCUCCUCCUCGUUGGGCCAGAAUGCUAAGGAAAAAUGGAUUCCUGGUAGUGAUUCGAUCGCUGCCCCUGUUCGACCGUCCUUUGCCCAGCGUGAGCAAGGCGAAGCUCCGGUGGUUGGUGCGACUAGAGCAGGGCUAAUCCGUCAAGCCCCCUCCUCUGAUGUUGCUGAUCAACCUCCCACCCGUUCGUGAGCUGCUGUCACUCGUUCGGCUACAAAAGGUUACAGCCUUUCCUAUAUUCCGCCUGCUACCAUUGAUAAUAAGGUUGUAGUGCAAAUUUCUGAUGAGAUUCUGCAAGCUGCUCACCCUAAAUUGGAUGAUUGUCUAGUUGGCUAUUAUAUUGGGAAGAGACUCCCGUUUAGAAUGACUGAGGAUGCACUUCAGUAUGCCUGGGGUAAUCACCUAGUUGAAGACAUUGUUGCUGAUCUGGGGUUUUAUUACUUUCACAUUCUUGACAAGGAGUUUAGGAGGAAAGUGCUAGAAGGGGGGCCAAUUACGGUUGCCAAAAUACCACUUGUCCUUCAGCAAUGGCACCCUUUCAUGAAACUCGAGAAAGAAUGCCAUAAAUCAGUUCCAGUUUGGCUCCGCCUUAGAAAUAUUCCUGUUAAUCUGUGGUCUGCUUCUGGUAUUAGUGCUCUUGCGAGUGCACUCGGUAAACCCCUCUAUGUUGACAGCCGUACUGAACAAAUGGCUAUGGUGGCUUAUGCCCGGGUUUGUGUUGAGAUCGAAGCUUCAAGUUCCUUCCCUGAAGCUAUUGAAUUUCUGCUGAAUGGAGACCUGAGAUCAGUGGAUGUCCAGUACAAAUGGCUGCCGAUGCUCUGUCCCAAAUGCUGUACUUUUGGCCAUAGAUGUGUUGAUCCUCAAGCACCUGCCCUCCCCAAAGUUGGAACUAAACUUUCUAAGGCCCCGUCGGCUAUUCCAUCUAGUGAGUGGCGAGAAGUUCGUGGAAAGCGGAAUGUUAGAAUCCCUAAUCCAGAUGAAGCUCCCCCUCCUGCUCGCUCGACUGAUCCUCCUCUCCGUGGAAUAGAAACUCGCCAUUCUGCACCGCAAGUGGUGGCUCCUAAGUUGGCAGCACCAGCGAAAAAUAAGGAAGAAGCUCCUCCCCCUCCUUCCUUUGACCUUUUCCAUGGUACGUCCCCAGUCCCUCCUCUUAUGGGCCAAGUAAAUGUGCCUGAAAAUAUUGUGCCAGAGUUGUCCUCAUCCUCGGAUGAAGAAGUUUUGGGGGAGAUCAAUGCUGGUAGCGACACAGACUCCCCUAGAAUGGUUGCUUCCUCUAUCCCAGAGGAGACUCUCCCUCCUCAGAUCCCUCCGGAACCCUCAGGGGGUGGCAUGGCCCACCAGAAAGGUACUACCCGAUCUGCCUCUAUUGAUGUGGAUAUUCCCCCACGCUCCAAACCUCUGCCCUCUUCGGUGAAGAAUCGUGGGGGCAAGAAGCGGUAACUAUCCUCCCUUUUUUUGAGUAUGCUUUUUGGAAUUUGGAAUAUUAGAGGUCUUGGGGCUCCUCUCAAGCAAGCUGAGAUCAGGAAUUUUGUUAAAUCCAAUCACCUUAGCUGUAUUGGUAUUUUGGAAACCAAGAUUUCCCCUGCGGUGUUCCCUGUGGUCUCCGAAGCCCUUCUUCCCGGUUGGAGUUGGUGCUCUAGUGUAUGUCGAUGAUAUUAUUGUCACAGGUGACAAUGAUGAGGAGAAACAGCAGCUAAAGCAGUGUUUGAUUAAAGAGUUUGAAAUAAAAGAGCUAGGAAGACUCAAAUACUUUCUUGGCAUUGAAGUUUCUUACUCUAGACAAGGAAUUUUUGUCUCACAACAGAAGUAUGUGACUGAUCUCUUGAAGGAAACUGGAAAACUUGGUUGUAAACCAGUAGCCACACCUAUUGAGCCUAAUAAAAAGCUUGGAGAUGCAAAGGAAGAAUGUAGAUCGAGAAGUGUAUCAAAAAUUGGUUGGGAAACUUAUCUAUUUGGCUCAUACUAGACCUGAUAUUGCCUAUUCAGUAAGUAUGAUUAGUCAAUUUAUGCAUGACCCAAGAGAAUCACACUUACAAGCCGUCAAUCGAGUGCUACAUUAUUUAAAAGGAAGUCCCGGAAAAGGAGUCCUAUUAAGAAGAAAUCAAAAACUGAUGCUGCAAGCUUAUACCGAUGCUGACUAUGCAGGAUCUAUAGUGGAUAGAAGGUCAACAUCUGGUUAUUGCACAUUUCUUGGCGGAAAUUUAGUGACUUGGCGGAGUAAAAAACAGAAUGUAGUUGCAAGAUCAAGUGCUGAAUCAGAAUUUCGAGCAAUGGCCCAAGGAAUAUGUGAGCUAUUAUGGCUUAAAAUCAUCCUAGAAGACUUGAAGAUCAAGUGGGAGGGUCCUAUGAAGCUGUAUUGUGACAAUAAAUCAGCAAUUAAUAUUGCUCAUAAUCCUGUACAGCAUGAUAGGACGAAGCAUAUUGAAAUUGACAGGCAUUUCAUCAAAGAAAAGAUAGAAGAGGGGUUGAUCUGCAUGUCCUACAUACCUUCCGGAGAUCAACUAGCUAAUGUGCUAACCAAAUGACUUAAUGGUGGGAUCUUUCAUGAAAUAAUCUUCAAGCUGGGAAUGGAAGACAUCUAUUCCUUAGCUUGAGGGGGAGUGUUGAAUUAUCCUGAUUUUUAGGAUCUGAUUAUUAGGAAUAUUCAAUCCUGAUUUUUUGGGUCCUAAUUAUUAGGAAAUAGCUGUAAAUAAUUAGUUAGGAAAUGAUUUAUUAGUAUCCCUUGAUUUGUGGGAUUAUAGCUGUAUUUUACAGAUCUGUUUUUUCCUAGUUAGUACUUGUAGAUGUCCUAUAAAUAGUUUUGUAAUCCUGGUACAAAAAUAUUGAGAAUUAUCACAAUUCUUUUCUCUAAGUUCUUCAGAAACAACUUGCAGUAUCUUUUCCUUUGCACAGCGACGGAUUUUCCAAAAAGCAUCUGUUGAUGCGUGAACAUGAAUGCCGCUGACACAUUGGCAAUGCCAAACCACAUUGACGUCUUGAGUGGCACCAAUCAACUUCAUUAGAAACAGGCCAAUAGGAUGUAACUUUCCUUCGUUCUCUAUAGAGGUACAUUCUUUGCCAAUUUUCUGUUUUAAUAACUGAGGAACACAUGUUUCGGUUUAUUUUUGCAUGUUUCACUCACGACUGCAGGAUUUGCCAAGACAAUCUUGUUACGCCCUCUACUCUUUGUUUCUUGACACAAAUAUAAUCAUACUAGCAUGCAAGCAAACAAUUGUUUAGUGUGGUGUCUGGAUGCUCUUGAGUUAAGUAGAUGUUAAUGGUGAUAAAUUUACUUUGUACCACAGAUCUGCAAUGCAGACCUUAUUCACCAAUAUCACGGACCUAAAGAAAACAAAAGGACUUUAUAUUUUUGUUGGGGGGAAGAAGAGAGGGGAGGCGGAGGGUUCAAAAAAUUAUGUUAUAAAUCCUGAUUAGCUUGUUGCGUAUAUGCUUGGGGAGAGAUACUAGUUUUCUUUUAUACUCUUUUGCUAACACAAUCUGAUCCCUUCAGUCUGUGAUAGUUACUUUAAAGAAGAUGCAUGCGUAGAAGUGGCUGGUACUUGAGGCACUUUGAAUUAAUAGCCAGGAAUAUUUGUGGCAAGCUGGUGACUUAGAUUAUCAUCGCAGGUAUAUUACAUAUCUGGGUUAUUUGCUCUUCUUCCUACAUGGCAUAUAAUAGUGAAAUUAUUUGCAUUGCUUCUUGCUAACUAAGCAACAUGGCAGCAAGUGUAUGAAAGCUACUUGCAGUAUCUUUUCCUUAGCACUGUGAGGGAUUUUCAGAAAAGCCUCUGCUGAUGGGUGAACAGACAUUCCCAAUGCCAAAUCACGUAGAUGUCUUGAGCGACACCAACCAACUUUGUCACAGUCAGGCCCAAAUGAUGUAACUUUCCGUUGUCAUUUCUACUGCAUCAGUUGGUUUACUUUCCAGACCAAUAGGGUUUGCCUCUCAACGGAGGCACAUUUCUUGCCCUUUUUAUCUGUUCAAUUACUGAUUAGGGAACCCAUUUUUCUGUUGUUUUUGCAUGUUUAACUUAAGGCAGCAGGAUUGCCUGCAGAGCCUGCUUCUUGUCACGCUUUCUACUUUUUGUUUUCUCACAUAAUCAUAGUAGCAUGGAAGCAUUUGGGAGACUGUUCUUUGAGCUAAGCUCACGUGUGGAUAUCAUAGCUGAUAUGAUCGAUUGAACUCGGAAAAAGGAACCUGUACAGCAAAAGGAUUGACUCGAAGUUUUGUAUAUGUAACAAGAGGAUUAACACAGCUGUCUCUAUUGUCCAUUUCCUUGUCUGCAAAAGCAGAUCCAUGGGCUUAGCCAUUGUAGCAAAGCCACUUUAAUGGUGAUGGUUUUGAUACUCCUCCUAGACUAAAACCGUGUGCAAGUGCAUGAGGCGUCACUUUCAAAAGAAGCUUUUUGAUUUUUUCACUGGAAAUCCCGUAAGUUUUUGUCGUGAGCAUGGUGUAUCCAGCUACUAGAUCGAGAUGAGUAUGAGCAUUCUUUGCCCUGAGUUGUAAUUACAUUGACUCUUCUCAUAUCAAUCCUUGUCCUAGUUAGAUAUCAAUAUCAAGCAAAAGGCCUUGAUACCUUCAACCUUUGCAAGAAUUCAUAGUGCAAUCUCUAAGAGCACAUCAUUUACAAAAUAGCUUUAGGCUCUAGGCCAUCAACGAAGGAAUAAAACGAACAUGAAGACAUUAUUGUGAGGGCAUAGCCAAACAGCUGCACGUUACAGAGUUACAAACUCAAUGAAUUGCUCAAUGCAAGCAAGCAAUGCAUACGAGUGUUCUCUUACCAAGUGAAAGUGCCUUGCAUGAGAGGAUAGUAGUUAUCGUAGAGCAACAUGCAUGCGCGAGGAAUGUUUUACCAUAUAAUUGCAUUAACUGAAUUUCAUAAUCUGAGGCAAUCGAUACAAAUGUGACAUCUGGAUCCUCGUUUAGUAAAAUCAAGCACUCUUAGGAUACUGGGCCAUCAUCACUGUAUCAUGACACCGUUGUACCAAUCCACCACAUCACCUAGCCGCCACCGUCGCGACGCCACUACGGCGCACGCUGAAUACCCUUCGGACCUUAGCCGUUUUUUCUUGAAAUUUGCCAAAGUGGAUUUAUUUGAGCCCAAGAGGGAAUUACGCCCAUGAAGAGGUAAAAGGCCAAAUUGACCAGCCCAAAACCAGCUGUUCAAUUUUUGAGCUGUUGACUUGGUGAAUUGAAAUUCACCACCAUCAACUACGUUAAACCUCAAAGUCGCUAGCCGUCUCUCAUACAAAACUUGGCAAUUAACCAAAGAGGGUUAAGCCAAAGCAAGCCACGUACUUGCAAUUUUGGCAAGCUGUCAAGAAGAUGCAUGAGGAUUUCCACCUAAAGUCCAUGUUCAACCCCACGUGCCACCUCCCUAGGCAGUCACGGUAAGAAAUGUUAACCAAGGGAGACUUCCAAAGGCAGCAGAAAGUGGGUAUAAAACCAGCCUUUCACCCAUUUCGUUGGAGUUGGAGCAAAACCCUCACCAAUUUUCUUCUUCUUCGUUCCCCUACCAGAGCAUCAUAGCCCCUCAUUUCAUUGCGCCACGACCACGAACAGCCCUCAUUCUACCAGCUUGACAUCAUACAGCUCGUGUCAUUUGCCAGCUUGAAGAUGGUGGUAGCUGAACCUAAAUAAAUUAUAGUUAUUGAAGUUCUCAAAUUUCCAUUUACUUCCUGGUAUACCGUUUCUGUGAAUUUCUUGUAGAACCGGUAAUACAUUAAGUUGAGAAAAGUUCCCAGGCAAGUUAAAUUCUUUUGAUAUCGUAUAUUUUAUGUCUAGGAUUCUGUCGAAUGGGUAAUGGUAGAUUCACGUGAUAUAGUCUAGCAGGCUUUUGCUUGUAGAGUGUUGUGCCCGCCCUUGGUGGAUUAUCAUUUUUUUAGACCAGUAGAUAUGUCUUUGCUACCUAUGUCCUCCAUGAUCCUCUAGGGUGUCCGGACAUAUCUCACAUGGAAUCAGACAAAGCAUAUAGACCUCGACUUCCCUGAGGUCGCUUUCAUUCGGAUCAUCACAAUCCGACAGUCAAUGCUGGUCCGCCAUCAAACCCGAUGUUGAUAGGGUUUCUUGCCAUCUAUGCCAGGAUCAGUGGGAGUGCAGUGGGGCCACUUACACUCCCAAACAGCGAUGACGAUAGAGACAGCGAGAUCGAGUAGAUGAGGGCCCGGAGGACAAGGGUGGCAUUUUUGGCGAGACCAGCACUUGUUAUGUUGGCGGCCGUGUAGAGAGACAAUAGGGUGGUUUAAGCAGUAUUUUGGAUGGAAUUUUGGAUAUAGCCUGGAGAAGUUUUGAUCCCCAGUGUACCGACCUAGGUUGCCUAUAAUAUAUAAAUAAAGAAAUGAAGGUGCCUGGUUCUAUAUUUCCACGUGCGUUGGUUGAAAUUAUGGUAUACUGAUUUGUUGUUACACGUUUUCGCAUGCUUAAAAAUGGAAAGAAUUGGAUAGUCACGCUAGUAGUGACGUGUUGGGGGGCGAGGGUGGCAUUUUUGGUGAGACUAAGACUUGUUAUGUUGGCGGCCGUGUAGAGAGACAGUAGGGUGGUCUGAGUAGUAUUUUGGACGAAAUUUUGGAUAAAGCCUGGAGAAGGAACGUUUUGAUCCCCAAUGAAUCGACCCAGGUCAGCUAUACUAUAUAAAUAAAGAAAUGAAAGUGCCUAAAAAAAAAAAUCUCUCCUUGUCCUGCCCUCAAUGAGCCUAAGCUUACAACUACCAAACCUGUCCGAAUCCACAUCAUCCUGAGUCAACUUGGUUUCAUUGAAUCAUCCAAGGAAUACUGAUGCACAAAACACUAGUCAAAACGUGCAAAGUUAAUCUAGCACAAAUGGGUACAUGUCUAAUGCGACUUGAAACUCACAUGGCCACACACAGCUCAUCAAAUCGACCAUGGCUUUGACUACUACCAUAUCACGUCGAGAUUGACCUCCUUGAGUCCGGAGAGGACUCGCACCUAAACCGGAUUGACUUUGUGACAUCAUGACCUAGCGAAGGCUGACGCCAACUUUGCCGAUGGUCAUUGCGGCUCGCAGCCUCACAAACCAAAACCAAUGCCUACUGCACCAAUGGUCAUCAUGGUACAUGACUAUACUAGUCAAGAUCGAACUUAACUUAAGCGACAUGAACUAAACCAUGACCACAACAGCAACUCCACGGAUGCAAGCCCAAUUUUGUUGACUCGUAUCACGAAAAUCCAAGGAAUGGUAGCCUCACGUAAUAUAGAAGAAUAGGACUUCUACUUGCCUCAAUGCUCGUCGACAAUAGCUAAGAUGGCACAACAGUGAAUGAUGCGAGCUGUAUGAUGUCAAGCUGCCAGAAUGAGGGCUGUUCGUGGUCGUGGCACAACGAAAUGAGGGGCUAUGAUGCUCUGGUAGGGGAACGAAGAAGAAGAAAAUUGGUGAGGGUUUUGCUCCAGCUUCAACGAAAUGGGUGAAGGGCUGGUUUUAUACUCACUUUCUGCCACCUUUGGAAGUCUCUCUUGGUCAACAUUCCUUACCGUGACUGCCUAGGGAGGUGGCACGUGGGGUUGAACGUGGACUUUUGGUGGAAAUCCUCAUGCAUCUUCUUGACAGCUUGCCAAAAUUGCAAGUACGUGGCUUGCUUUGGCUUAACCUUCUUUGGUUAAUUGCCAGUACGUGGCCUCGGUGAGGAUGCUGGAAGGGAGAGGGGAGCUUUGUCCUUGUUUUGACUAGCGGACGGACCGAGUCUUAUCAAAAGCGUCUUAGCUGGUGCUGCUGCCUUCCUCCCUUGCCUUGGAGAGAUGAUGAUCAUCAUCAUCAUCGUUCAUAAAGCAACCGGCAUCCGUGAUGGAGAAAUCUCUUGCUUCGAUCGUCGCGGUUGGUUCGCGGGAUGAGGAUUGAAGUGGUGGAGUGAUGAUUCCGGUAAGGAAAAUUGUCCAAAGAGUGUUGAAUACGCUCUACUUUUUGUCAAUUCAAUUCUCGACACUUCGAUUUUACCAAUAGAGUCGUGCACAUUUUCACGUUUUGUUAAUUGAGUCAAUAUAAUCAAUUUUGGGUGAAAAUUACUAAAAUGGACUCUAGCCGUUUUAUAUAGCAUGUCCGGUGCAAACAUGGACAAUUAUUUUAUAAUAUUUAAAUAUAUCUUGAAUAUAAUUUUCUCUUUUAUUCUUCUUCUUCUCUUCAUUUUCUUCUUUUUCUUUUAUGUUUUUCCCCAUUUCCCUUCGCUAACCAACACCGAGCCUUAAGUGAGAGCCACUCAGGCUUGGGUUGGGAGGGUCACCCUUGCUUGGGCGAACGUGGACUGCCCUCAUGCCCAAGCCUGAGCUGGCGAGGGUCACUCUUUCUUGGACAGGCAUGGAUCACCCCUGCCUGAUUCAACAAGGGUGGCUUGAGCGUCCUUCACAUGAGGAUGGCGAGGGCAACCCUUGCCUAAGACUAGCAGCCUCCAUCGGCCAUCAAUGAGGCCUCAUGGAAGGAAAAAGGAAAAAGAAAAGAAGAAAAAGAGAAAAAAAAAUUAUUAUUAAAAAUUAUCAACAUCGGUCGAUCAAUAUUCACAUCAGUGAUUUCUAACCAAAAUUGACCGAAUUGAGUCAUUUGGCAAAAUAUAAAAAAAAAUAUUUAUGACUUAAUUGAUAAAAUUAAAAAAUUUAGAACUGAAUUGAUAAAAAGAAAUAUAUUCAAGAUUUUUUGGUCCACGUCCCUUAUUUCACGUUUGGCGUGAUCACAUCAUCAGAGGAUAUGGGCGUCCCGAUGAGAGCAGCCAUUCUUGGAACAAAAAGAAAAUAAAUAAUGAGAGCAACCAUGAUUGGCAAUUCUUACCGUGGGGGAAGGAGUGGACAUCACCUUCCUUCCAAAAGACCCCAUAUUUGAUUCUUUUUUUUUUUUGGUCGGAAAUUUCCUUUCAAGUGUACCUUUUUUUUUUUUUUUGGCAUCUCUCUUACUUCUUUUUGGGGGCACAUUUGGCAGUUGACUUCAAUCCGUUUUGAAUUCCCACAUUGUUUUUUUUUUCCUUAUCAGGAUAAAACGUAAGAUUUAAAAAUAUCAAUUCCAUUAACUAUAAUGGCUUGCUCAAAUGAUUCAGGUGUUUAUCCUCCUUGCACAAGAUCAGGAUUCAAAUCAUCACACUUGUACAUUUUUUUGGAUUUACUUCAGAGACUACAGACUUGUGUGUCGUGGUAAUUGCCCGAUGAAUAUGAAAUAGGGAAUUGCCAUAUCUCGCAGGGAUUAGUCAGGUACUCAAAAUAAUCAAACAUUCUAUUAACAUCCAUUCCGUUUUCAUUUCGUUUGUGUUGUGUCAUAGUAAGGAUAGGCUCCCCAUCGAUUGGUUCAAGCUUAUCAAUAAGAUUUGUUUAGAUCCCCUUUAAGGGUCAUUGGAUCUAUGCAAGUCCUUAAAAUGCUUCAUCCUAGUUCAAUUUGGACCUUGAGACUUAAAAAAUGUAAAGCACCUAGAGGCUAAUCCCUCCUUUCGGAGAAGACAAACAUAUAGAGGGUAAAUUGGCGAGAGUUAGGCAAGUAGGCACCAGUACGUUAAAAUAAGGAAUACAAUCUUAUCAACCCAUCUGGAUUGCCAGGCAAGCAGGGUGGCCCCAACUAGGAGCUUUUUUUUUUUUUUAGUUGGUCAUAUUUUAUUCCUAUUUUAACUCUCACUCUCAGACUUUUGUCCUAUCUUCUUACAAUGUGUGGGAGUUCAAACCUAUUCCUGAAACUAAAUCGUUCACACCCCAACCCUCUUAAAAAGGUGGGGAUUUGAACCUCUCACCUCCUCUUUCCAUGUUGGAAGGGUGGCCACUGGGGCAAAUCCAUGAUGGUUGAGAGCCGUGGACUGGAUCGGCAGCGACAGAGAACCGUGAUGGAUGGCAAGGUCAUUCGGGGAGGUGGCGAAAGGGAGAGCAUGGGGUGGCAAGGCUGCUCUCAAGGUAAUGGCAGAAGGAGCCAACUGCGGGCCGUUGCAAAGGGAUGAGAUGGCAAAUAUGGCAUAGGAGAGAAGACGCCCAUUAGGACUAGAGGUGGAGAUUCGACGGUACACGCAUCACGUGCCAGAGAAGAGACGAUGAAGGAAAACAUGUACUUGGUCCUUUUCAAUAUUGACCUGAAUUCACCAAGUUUCUCGAGAGCUAAAUAAGGAAUUUCAGUUCAUAUCUGAUACUAAUUAAAAGUUAAUGCAUCUCUUUCAUAGAUUUUGGAUCAAUCAAGUGAGAAUGAUCGAUCGAGAUUUUGGAGGAUGAUUUAUAAAGGACAUGAAAAUUGCUUAGUCGCUCUAGGGAGAGAAUGAACACUGUAGCAUGUGAUUCAUACCGCAUGUGCCGUUUUGACUUAAAGGCUAGUGUGAAUUAUAUAUGUUAAAUUCAAAGAUAUUGUGAUCCUUUGUAGAAGACCUUUCGGAGAUAUUAAUGCCUCAUAUAAUAUCCUUAGGACUUUCUACUACUUUUCAAAAUCUUCAUCCAGUGACCUAUAUACAUUUUAUAUGAUAAAUUUAAGAUUUUUUACUACAUUUCAAAAUUUCGAUCCAAUGACCAAUACAUAUAAAAAUCUCAUAUGAUAUAUGCAUAGGCUUAUUCAAUAUAUAAAACCUAUUUGUAUUUUCCAAUUUAAUGCGUUAAUCAUGAAUCGGAAGUUAAAUAUGCUAUAUGAUCAAUCUCAAGGUCCGUCUAUUUUGUGGCAAAAUCAUGAUUUGGAAAAUAUUUUCCUAAAUAUGAUCGCUUAUAUCACAUAAAAAAAUAUAUGAAUGAAAAAUAUUUUUAUCGUUCACAAUAAAGUUUAAGCAUAAAUUAUUAUAAAUAAUCAAAACAUUAUUUGUUGUCUAAUUAUGUCAAGUGAUAUAAUCAAUUACUUUUUAGGAAAAUGUUUUCCAAAUUGUUUAUUUUCACUAAAUUAAUCCUUGGUUUAAAAGGAGUUGACUUUAUGUCAUUCUCAAAAGAAGUACAUUCAAGAUAAUAGUGAUGUUUUGAUGAUCAAGAUUGUUAUGUGUUAAAAGGUCAAUGAAGAAGGUGAUAAGCGAUUUCUCUCUUUUUCCUUUCUGCCAGGAUAAGUACACUAUCAGUGCCAUAAGUUGUGUACGGCGCUCACUUUGGUGCCAAAAGUUUCUGUCGAAUCACUUAAGUGCCAAAAAGUUUGAAAAACGCUCACUUUAGUGUCAACUCCGAUAUGGUUGGCUGGAAAUCCAACGUGGUACAUUUUUAUUAAUUUUUGAAGCUGAUGUGGCUCGUCAAAGAGAACAGUUAGCAUCCUAACACCAAAAUGACGCCGUUUGGUAUCUCCCCCAAUUCAAAACCCUAAAUCUCUGGCCAGUCGCCGUCCUCGACGGCCCUCGCACUCGGCGGCCGUGGCUCCGACCUUGACCUUGACCCCGACGAUGGCCACUUGGCGGCCACAGCUUUGACCCUGACCUCGAUCGUGACAAUGGCCACUCAGUGGCUGCGGCUCUGACCGCAACCCCGACCCUGACAAUAGCCACUUAGCGGCCGCGGCUCCAACCCUGACCCCGACCCCUACCCUAACCCCGACGACGGCCACUCAGCGGCCAAGUCGAAGGUCGUGAUCUAGCUGGUGCUCGGGUAGGCCACUGAUGAGUGCGUCGCCAUUGAUGUCUCCCUCUCCAUCUCCGAUCUCCUAGACAAGUGCCUAGCCUACGUCUUCUAGUAUCUAGGCUACGGCGACUGGGGCUAGUGCUCCCUCGUGUGUUGUCGAGGGUGUCCGAACAGCGCCGAGCAAUAGCGGCCGAGCGAGCGAUGGGGGCCCAACGACGGUGGAGGCCGAACGACGAUGGCCGAGCGAGCUAGGUCGGAAAAACCCUAAUUUCAAUCCCCAAAUAAAAAAAAAAAAUCUCCAAAUGAGUUAAAUGUCAUCAUUUUUGUGAGGCCAUCCAUGUAGGAUGGCAAAACCACGUCGUUGACCGAAAACGACGUCGUUCGAAGGCGUUGUUGAUUUCUUUUUUUUUUUUUUAUAAAAAAAGUCACAUAAUUAUUUUGGUCGGAAUCUUUCGUUUGUGGUAUCAAAGUGAUCGUUUUUUCUCCGAUUUAGCCCUUAAGUGAUUCAACGGAAACUUUUAGAGCACCGUACACAACUUAUGGCACUGAUAGUGUACUUCUCUCCUUUCUGUUGUAGGUGCCAACUACUUUAUUUAAUUACUUUACCAUACAUGUUACAAAAAGGCAAAUGGAAAGCAUACAUAUUGGCUAAUAGGAUUAUUCUUGGAUUGUGACAAUGACACUAUUAGCCCCUAAAUUUUCGUUCAAUAUACAAUGUCAAUGUUUUUCCAGAAUUUUUAAUUAGUGCAAUUAGGUUUUUUAACUUUGUCUAGUGUAGGAAGUUAUCCAUCAACUUUAAGUCGAUUCAAAUAAUUAUCUAAAGUAUGUUUUUAAUGUCAAUGUGAUCCUAGUUAAAAAGAAAAGCUUCUAAAUUUAGUAAAGAACCACUCAUUCAAUAGUCUUGAUGGAUAAUUGUAUGCAUGCUCAUACGUACUUAUAGAGCAGGUAGAGAAUUCUACAAUAUCUCAAAAUAUAGAGGGAUGUCACGAUUUUUCCACCUUCCAUCACUCACCCAAUGCCAACCGCCCCUUCUCUCUCUUGCUCCCCAAUUCUACAAGCAAGUGGAUACAUAUGUAUCUAUCUUCACGGUAGUUGUUUUAGACCUUUAAAAUGUCAGAACACAAGUAUAAUCCGAUAGUGAUUUAGAUUGAUGUUCGUGUUAGCAAAUCUGAUUAAUGCUUAUUAAUGCAAGAUUACUAUUGAAUGUUUUCAUAAAGUUCAAGCACUUAACUAAUCCAAUGAAAAGUGCAAACAUGACGUUACAUAUAAUGUAAAGGGUUAAUAUUUUAGGUGAGCAAAAUUCCGGGGUAGAAUCUGUAAUCGAAAAAUCAGACCUUUAGGAAAAUCAUAUUAUAGUUUCAAGGUAUGUAGAGUAGGUUUUAAAUUUCAAAGAUUAAGGAAUUUAUUUCAAUGGAUAAAUUUCAAAUUCCAGAUAGUUGGUACAUAGAACUUGGAAAUAAGUUUUUGUGUUUUUCUUGAUCUUUGUCUUCGUACAAUUCUGUGAUAUUCCAUCGUGUCCAAUAAUUGAGGGUUGUUAGCAUGACUUAUUUUGGUAACAUCCCUUAGCUAGAUCUAAGAGAGGACCGGUGACUACCCUUGUCUGCGUUCGAUGAAGGUCAUCGACAAUGCCAAGUCCUGGCAUUAUUUAUUUAAAAUUGUCAUGAUUACUUCAGGUCUUUAUUUAAAAUUAUUAUGAUUAUUUUUUUUAUCUUUAUUUAAAAAGAAAAUUCAAUUCAAAUUCUUAUAUUAAAAAAUAAAGGGUUAAUACCUUGAAAAACCCCAAACUGGUACAUCUGUGACAAAUUUACCCCAAACUAUUUUUUUGACCGCCAAAAACCCCAAAUUGGUAUACCUUUGACAAAUUUACCCUAAACUGGUACAUUUAUGACAAAUUUACCCUCUGUUAAUUUUAGUUUAAUUUUCUUGUUAAAUUAUAAAGUUAAAUAACACGUGACAAUUUACUGGUAUAUCAAUUUGGGAUUUUACACUCUAUUUGUCACAGUUUAUAAUUUUUGUGAUUUUUUUGUGGUAUUAAUCUAAUCUUUCGGAGGGUAUAUUAGUAACAAAUUUACUAGUUUGGGGUUUUUUGUAGUCGAAUAAAUUAGUUUGGGGUAAAUUUGUCAUAAAUGUACCAGUUUAGGGUUUUUUAUAGUUAGUCGGGGUAAAUUUGUCACGGGUGGUAUGAUCAAAAAAAUAGUUUAGGGUAAAUUUGUCACAAGUGUACCAAUUUAAGGUAAAUUUAUCACAAAUGUACCAGUUUAGGGUUUUUCAUGCACUUUGUUCCCCUACUUCAAAUUUUUCACUGGGCAGAGUGCCAGAGAGUAGCGUGCCGAGAGUGAGCCCUAAGCAAAAAGCUCUCCAGUUUUGAGAUUCAUGAUCAGCUGAUGAGGGGAACGGGUCUCUGUGGUGCUUUCAUUUUCCUUCUUCUUCGUGCUCCACCUGGGAUCUCCAGCCAGUCGUCUUCCCAUUCCAUUCUCCAUCACCCUCAUCCUUCUUGUCUCCCUUUCUAGUUUCGCCGUCGUCGGAGGUUUUGCUCGAUCCCUUAACCCUCUUUUAGACGAUGAAGCCGACGAGUCUCCUUCGCCCUGCUUCUUCCAUCUUCCUCCUUCUUCAUGCGCCCACUGCGAUCUCCAGCCAUCCAUCAUCCCCUUCCAUCCUCCCUCUCUCCUCUCGCCAUCGUCGUCGUCGUCGGUUUUCCUCGACCCCUCCUAACCUUAAUUUAGAUGACCCAAGCGAGGUCUUGAGUCACGUGAGGAAAAUUUGCAGGAAUGGUGGUGUGUUUUCGAGCGUCGGCGAUGCCCAGCGUUGCUUCGGUGCAUUGAUGAAGACGGACCCUUUGCCUUCCCCCC
rnacentral:lncRNA from 1 species